AGGCCUUGGGAGGUGUGCACUGUGCUCAUAUUUCCGAUGUGGGACUGUGGACAUGGAUUGUGAGCAUGACACGUGUCCGAUGGUAAAAAGGGGCCAAGAUAGAUGGCUUCGGUAGGAAUCAUGCCGAAGAGGAUCUGUGAUCAAUAUCGGUCCUGUCCACGUGUUCGGUGGUCAUAGGCCGUUUCUUUCCGGUAUAAACAAAUACCAACAACACUUUUAACAAAAACUUUAUCAAACGCCAAACUGUUUUCUCUCACAACAAAUCUGACAACGAUUAUUUUUAUAGCACAGUAAUGCCAAACAAUCCCUUAAUACUUGAAGAUUAUAUGUCCUCUGCUUAUUGGGGCGGCGAACACGAUUACUAAUUAACAAAUAUAAAGGUUUUUCUUUUUCUAAGUCAUGGUUAAUUGAUUUUUGUUAACUCAAAAUUAUGGGGAUAAGUUGUCACGUAGGCAAAUAAAAAGAGGGAAGCUGUCAAAAGUCUGAGAUUGGUCCGUAUGCUAAUGUAUACACCAAGUCUCUCUGGUGAAUCGACGAGUGUGAUAUAAAUAAUAAUGAUAAUUAAUAAAAAGCAAAACCCACUUAGAUACUCCACCACAAAGGGUGCUGUAGACUUCUCAAUGGUCAUAUAAUUAAUCCAAAUUAUAGAUGAUUAGAGCGAUUCAAAAGCAGGAGCCACGUAUAAUGUAUACCCAUUUGCAAGGAAACCUAUCUUUCUUAAAUCUAAUAGUUAUUUGCAUGUCCAGAGACGAGAAACCCUAGUUGGUCUGUAAUUAAAUUUUGUUCGCAUCUUAUACAUUUGAUAACUCUGCACCCGAGUUCAAAUUCUCUUUUCGUAGUUUAGUUAGUUUAAUAAGUAUAUUUAAUUAUGAAUAAUUUGCUUUAUGGGAGAUUCAGACCAAAUGAAGAUAAUAAUUUAUGGAAGAUGGAGCGUCUUAAUCAUCUUUUUUAUAUAUAUAGUUGAAGUUUGUGAAUAGCUUCUCCACUCAAAUGGGCUCGGGCCAAUCCCAAUCUCCUUAAGUUGCCGCAUUGCAGAUCUCAUAUUCUCCAGAAAAAAUGGAAGGAAUAGAAAAUCGGGAAUUGACAGAAUGAGAGGUCAACAGCAUUUUGUAUUAAUUAAUUUAAUUUACCUGAAUCUAGCGGCCAUUCCCUUUUUAAAUAAUAUUAUCGCAUUAUAUGGUGUCAGUAAAUUAAUCUCAACUAGCUUUUGUCUGUGAUUUUAAUAUUAUUCUCACAAUGAGCUCACCAACCUGUAGAUCUUUCAGUUGAGUUUAAUUAGUAUGUAAUAUAGGAGAAAUUCAUCAUUUUUAUAAAUAUCAUAUGUUUCUUUACUGUCUUAAAAAUGAUAUAUACUGAGCAUGCAAAAAUUAAAUACUUUUUUUUUCUUUAAUACAACACAAUAAUUAAUAAACUUACAUUAUAAUUCAUCCCUAAUUAAACCAUAUAAUACUCAAUUCUAACAAAAUCUCAAAUCAAAGCCUUAGAAUAAUUCAUCCCUAAUCAAAACCCUAAUUAAUUUCAAUAAAAUCUCAAAAUUAUAAUUCAUCCCUAAUUAAACCCUAGAAUACUUAAUUUUAAAUUAAAGAUAUAUAGCAAAUGAGAGAAUGAGAAUAAUACUUGUUGUUGACAAAAGGAAAUGAGAAUAUGUUGUUGCCAAGUUGCCCACUCAAGAUAAUAGAUGUAGCCAAUAGAGGGAGAAUUUAAACCCCAACACCCCCCUCCCCCCAAAAAAAAAAAAAAAAAAAAGAAGAAACAAGUUGCUAAUGUCGUGUAGCAAAGAGAGAGAAACAAAAAGUCUAAUAGUUAAAAGAGAAGGAAAGAGAAUAUAUGAGACCACUUGGAUGGGCAGCAUAUGUGUAGAGUUUACUUUUAAUUUUUUUAAUUUUGAGCUAGGCUUAUAACACAUGUAGGUUUUUUUUUGAAAAAAUUUAGGUUGGUCAGGCACCCAGCCUGCAUUGUACACAACACCACCCUUGCAUUAUAGUUUUACUCACAUUCAAACUUGCUUAAUUUUAGAGUUAUAUGAUGGGAGCAAUAUCUAAUGACUUAAGAAUGUGAGAAAAUUACAAUUGGGGAAAUAGUUUGAAUCAAUCAAUCCUUUGAAUUAAUAAAAUAAAUAAAUAAUUGGGAAGAAGAGCUUCAAUCCUUUCGACUCCCAUGCAACUAUGGGUGAUGAAAUCGCAUCGUCACGAAAGCCCUUAGCUUCUAGUGAAAGACACAGCCGACAACUCUUGAGAAUCAAAUACCAACAAGAAUUGCUAAUAGGUUUAGAUUCGAUGGUUAAAUAAGAAUGGAGAUAGACAUAUUAAUAUAAUUUAUUUUUUUCAGCUGGAUAAAAAUUAUAAAAACAAUAAAAUUGUAUGACAGAGGUACAUUCACAUUGUUCCAGAAGAGCUUGUUUGAAAACUUAAACAAAAUUAUUAUUAGUAUAUUAUCCAUAUUAUGGUCACAUAGUCAGCUUAGUUUUACUAUAAAUAAAAUGGUGACAAAAAAUAACAAAGAGGAGGAACUAUUUUUUUGUCUUUUUCUUUUGUCUUUUUACUUUCUUAAGCUCCGGUUCCCUUUGUUUUGUGUGAGAAAAUGACGAAUAUCUAAUCAUUAACUUUAUAGUUAAUUAAGCCAUUAAUAAUAUAUUCGAUCUAUUUUGGUUAGCCAACCAAUCAAACUCACACCUUGUAUAAUGUCUAAUUGUGUACAUCAAUAAGAAAUAAAGUAAGGAAAAUAUUUCUCUCAUUUUCUUAAAAGUAAAAACUCCUACAUUCCUGUCAAUUGUUAGUAUGACAUGUGUGUAUAAGUUUUCUUUUUUUGUUUUUAAUGAAAUAUUUUUACAUAUGUUUCAAACCGCGAUUUGCAGGAAGGAGGUAAACAAUAUUCAUAAAAUAAACUGUGAAAACAAUAAUAACUAACGUGAAAAUAAUUAAAAGAAAAAUAAGGUUACUUGAAUGAGAAAGGUAUAAAGGCAAACCUUGUUAGUUGGGUCAAUAUUAAUUUGAUAAAUACUAUAAAAAAAAAAUUAAUAUUUGUGGUAUAAAAUUAAUAUAAUUAGGUACGUAGUACAUUACAUACAACCAUUAAGAAUAAAAUGCAUGCAUAUAUAUAACUAUAUAUGGACCGACGAUAUCUCUAGUUUUUUGUUGUUGUUUAUAUCUAUCAUAUUUUUAGACGGUAAAUUAAUGUAAUGUAAGAGAAUCUGUCCAAAACAAAAUUGAAAAAAUAAAAACUAAUUAUGUGAGAAAGAAAGUGAAAGGCAACACUUAUUAUUAAUUUGAAAAUAAUUAAUUAUCACUAUAUGUGGGCCGACGACAGAGAAAUCUUUCCAUAGAAAAAGAAAAAUGUAGAAAAUUAACAAGAACAUUUAGAACCAAAAUCAUAUGCCACAUGCAGAGUUAGAGAGGUACAUACAGGGCAGAAAUUAUUAUUUUUAUUGGAGUUGGAAUUUAUAAAAUAAAAAAUUAUAAUCGACGGUGGAAAUGGUCGGUUGCCGCCAUGAAACAAUGAGAUCAUGACUGAUGAUCUAUGAAGUUGGAAAUGAGAGUUAGGAAAAUUCGAAAGUGACAAUUGUUUUGUUGCAUAUCAACUUGCUCAUUCAAGAUGGUCAUAAUUAUUUAUGGAAGAAGUACCUUUCACGUAUUUGAAGACAUGUUUGCAUACCAACUUGUUGAUUCAAUACAUAUUUGGAAGUCAUUUUACGAUGAUCAUAAUUAUUUAUGGAAGAAGUAGCCCUCACGUAUUUUUUUAUGUAUAAUCAUUUUAAAUAAUUUUAAGCGAUUAUCAAAAGAAGUACAUAUAAAAUAAAUAAAAAAAGAAAAGUGAUUAUUGGACUAUCUAAAAUUAUCCCGUAGGAGCCCCCACCCACCACAUAUAAAUUUGUAUAUAUCUAUCAAUAUAUUAGCUAUUGCAUUGCAUAUGCAUAUCUAUCUCUUUCUAUUUUGAUAUAAAAUAUUCCAGAUUUUUUGUUUUGAAAAUCAUAAAUAGCUUUGUGGGUUAUAUUGGUCCCAUAUGCUCUUAGUUGUCUUAGUCACCAGUUACCGACCAACUUCUUCAUAUUCCCAUGUGCCUCUGCUAUAGGCCCACCUACCCCAUCAUUCCAAAAUAGGUGGCUGCUUCAAAACGAUAGUUUUUAUAGGAAAUUUUGGUGAGAACAAAUUUUAUGUUUUUCAUUAUUUUCUCUCAUGAAAUGUUUUUUUUUAUUUAUUUACGAAAAUAUGUUUAUAUUGUUAAGUGAAUUCGAAUUGGAAUCAUUUAAAAAAAUAUAUAUAAUAUGGUCUAGAUGCUAAUCGAUGGGCUUACCUGAAACCCUAGCCCCUUGUAGUAAGAGGAAAACUAGUGAUUGAGGCAUGCUUUCGAUUUCAGAGGAAACAAUCUAAUCAAACGAAUAAAGCAGGUUAAUUAUCACCUCGUAGUUAUUGGAAUGGAUUUGUUACUCCGUGUACCAAACAAAAUGUACAAAUUAAUAUCUCAUAUGUCGACGAUGAAAUUUCUUGGCGAUGAGAAAUUAAAGUUUCCUCCCAACAAAUGCUUCAAAUCAUCGUACGUCCAACUUUGUACAGUCAUAUUUGUUCUCAGGCCAGUCACAUCUGUCCGUCUUUUUAUGUCGAAAGAAUAAUACUACACGCAUCAAGUUUCUUCAUAAAAAUUUUGUUCACGAAAUAAUGUGUUAGUAUGUUAUUUAUUCAUAUACGAGUUCAUUAUACUUUAUUUAUUUUUAAGAGGACUCUAACACAGACUGUUCAAGCACAUUAUUUGAUUAUCUCAAUUCACUAAUUGACGGAUUCUUUAAUUUAUAAUUUAAUUAUAAAACGAAAUCUAUGAGGACCUAAUUGAAAAACUUAAUACUAAAACGACUAAUUGAAUCAAUACAGAAGCUAAAAAAGAUCAAAUUGAUCACUUUUCCUAAGAUCUAUGUUUAAUAUUGUUUCCUUAUCUUAUCUCUUCCUUGUUGAUCUUGAUAUCCUUUUUUAAAGUUCUCCAUGUGUGUGUGUUAUGUUCUCCCAUGAUUGGCUCUUUCAUCUCAGUACACCAUUCUGUCCAUUCCAUACUUCUUCCAAAAUUUGUUACUUAUUAUUUAUUCUGCUAACAUCCUUCCAAAAUUGUAUUUAAUCCAUGGGACAUGAGUAAUAAAUUAAGAACGAAGCUUGCUUAUCAUUGAAUAAUCAUGCCUCCCUAACCCAUCUGAAAUAUAUUGUUUAAUAAUGUCAUUAACCAAUAUUAUCUUAAUUCAUCUUCUUUAAUAUUUUAAUACAACUGCAAAAUCUAGAUUAUACUAAUCCAACCAGGGAUGAUAACAGGGCACGGCAUGUAUACUCCAACCAAUCAUAAGGAAAUAACUCCAACGCCUCACUAACUAUAUAAACAAAGUUAUACUGCUAUAUGUCAUUACCUAACACCAUAUUAGCACAUAGAAUUAGGUCAGUUGUUCAAUACCGCAUAUUAGUGUUUUUCGUAUUCUAAAGUUAGGUCAGUUGACCAUUAAUAUCACAUAUUAGCGUUUUCGUAUCCUAGUUCAAAAGUUGAUGGAAAAAAAAAAAAAAGAAGAUAACACCAUAUUGAUCAAAAGUUACUGAAAAAAAAGCCAUUGAAAUUGAGAUUUUGAAAAAGAACAUGCAGUACCAAAGUUAGGUACCUAAUCAUACUGCAAUGUCACCUAAAAGAAGAACGUCUUUUUGAAAGGUGGGCCACGGCCAUCCCUCCAUAAACAGCUCGAUAAGGUCAAAACCAUAAAUAGCGUUCAGAAAAAUGGGGCUUCAUACAUACGUGAGCCACAGGUAUCUGCAAGCAACGUUUUUAUCUUAUAGUUAUUAAUUUAAUUAACAAUAGGAUUAAGUAUAGGAUUAAGAUUCCUAAUUAUGGUAAGUCAGUAAUCAGAUUUUUAAGCUUGAGCACCAAUUGGAUUUUGGAAAUAAGUACCCUACCUAACCGAUCGUUUCUAAAUCGAGCCUAGCAAACAAUUUUUUUUAUUAUUAUUUAUUUUAUCAUACAUCAGACUUUUCUAAAUAGACUUUUUAUUUUGCGUAAGUUCUGUUAAGGUUUUAUAUUAAAUAUUAUCGAUAAUAACCUUUAAAAAAACAAUAUUUUCUUCUCACACAUUUUUGUAUGGAGGGUUCGCGCGAAAAAAAUUAAGUUUGGGAAGGACAAAAUAUAAUAUAUAAGCAUAAGAAUUAUAUAAGUAUUCCAAACUUACAUAUUAUUAGAGCCAAUUUUGUUUAAAAACUUAUUACUAAUCAUGCAUUAUACACAUUGAAGAGGGGGGUCACUAGCCUAAAACUCCAAGGUUUUUUUUUUUUCUUUUCAUUUUUAUCAUUUAUAUGCUAUCAAUAAAUCUUAUUUAUAAAACGGGUUUAGAGUUAAAACUCAUAGGUCAAGUUUGUGUUUAACACCAAUUAAGAUCACAUAUAUAUAUAUUCAUUUGAAUACAAGGCGAUAGUCUAGACUACAAUGAAAUGGAGGUUUCUCACACAUAUUACCAAAGUGUUCGAACCCAAAACCUAAUAUGCAAGUCAAAAUCAUUUUUCAUUGGGCUAAAUCCCGUUGGCCACAUAUUUUAAGAUAUGAUUCUACUUAAUUUGUUAAUCACAUCUUUAGUUAACUACCUAUAAGGAUGUAAACAACAUGUGAAAAAACAUUAAAAUGUAAUAUUAUUUGCUUUUAAAUACAUUAAAAAUAUUAAAAGAGAGAAACUCAUUACUAAAUCAGCCGAAAAUAAGCAUAAAAAUUAAAAUGAUAGUGGAGAACACCUGAAAAAAGUGGAUGAAGUUAAAAGGUUUUUUGUUUUCUCUGUUAUAUCAAAUUAGGUAUGUGGUGGUGUACAAGCUCAACCAGAUAUGCAACUAUGAAUAGAAAAACCAACGUAUAACAUGGGCAUUAUCGUCAUUUCAAGAAACGGUCGUAUAUAAAAGGGAGACGAUAUUUGCGUUAAACUUCCGUUUUUGCGUAUUUUAAAUAUUGGUCCACUGCGUCUCUGGCUAUUGGCUAUUGCUUCGGGCGUUUUGGCUUUGGGAUUCGCAAACAUUUGGUCACCAUCUAAAAGCGAAGGCAGGGAGAGAGAGAGAGAAAGCUUCAAAGUCCAAAAACCAUCGCUCAUGUUCAGCUGCUUAACACUUACUCUUGUGUAGCUGGAGCUUCUUUCGUUUUCCCAGGUAGUCUUUUAUAUAGCUGCUAUUUCUCUCUCUGCUCCUCAAACAAGUUUAAGUCUUUAUUUGCUUUUGGUUAAGUUUGUCUUAUUAGUGGAAUUGCUUUUGGUUUGAGACUUGAGUGGCUUUUGGGUUUUGGAUUUUGGAGCUGAAAUCAGCUCAAGUUUCCUUCUUUUGGGAAUCAGAGGGGAAGAAAGUCAAGUCAACUGAAAAGUUAGCGUAAGCUUUUUCUGAAUAAGAAAGCUGAAGAGCCUGUAACUGGCUGCAGAGCAUAUUGGUUCUCUGGAUGCGCUUUCGUUUUUGGGAAAAUGAAUGGAGGAUAUAAAUGUAUGCUCUUUCAGAUAUCUCUUUGAUUUUAAUUUGUUUUCAGAGGCACUUUUUAAAAAGAAAAAAAGACAGAAAAUAAAGAAUCUAAAUGAGUUUGGCACUAUGAGAAAUUGUAGCUGCAAUACCAAAAUUAAUCAUGUGAAGGACUUGUAGGUUUUGGGUGACUGCAUCUCUGAAAGAUCAUUAAGCAUUUUCUCUUCUGUUGUUUUAUGAGAUAUUGUGCAAAAUAUUGCUGGUUCUGCAAGAGUUGGAUAUUUUAAAAAUCCAUGUGUGCCCUGCUUUUCUUUGCCUUUGCUGGUUGAAAUUUCAUCUCUUCUGGUCAUAUUUUUCUUGGGGAUGAACCUGUUGUUGUAUUGGAGCCGAUCUUUUGUUCUUGCUGAAGCAGUUUUGGCACACAACAAAAAAGAAAUGUAGAGGGCGUUCUGGUGUAACUGUAGUGCAUCUGUGUCUGUGCUCAUGCUCUUAUUUUUCCCAUUAUAAGUCUAUGGUGGUCAUACUGUAGUUAUUUGAUUUUUAACGGAAUCAAUAGGAUUCCCACUUUUUCUUAUAUAUAUAUUUUUUUUCACGCCUUUAUAGUUUGAGUUCGAUCUUUGCUCCAAAAAGCCAUCUUGUGCACUUGAAACCUGCAUUUUGUAGAGAGUCUAUAAUCUCUUUGCUUUUAAUAAAUCAGAGGACAAGGAGUUUCCUGUUAUAUUUUCACUCACUCAUGUGACUUUUUACAGAAUCCUAUAUCGUCAUAGGCCUAUUACAAUUUUGGAGUGCCUGUAAUUGUGUAAGAAAAUCUUUUGGGCAUUAUGCAUGUCUGGCCCUGCGGCCAUUGACGAUAGCGCGGGAGAAGCACGCUCUUAUGCAGAGAGAACAAAAUCACUUGAUGCCAUUUCCAAAGAAGACAGAGAAUCCAUAUUAAAUAAUGGCGAAGUUGCUCAUACUUCUGAAAUUGCUGCCUUUAGAGUCAGGGAGCUAUUACUUCCAAAUAAGGAAUCCUAUUCGGGGCCGGUGCUUGGAAACAUCCCCGAGGGUAGGGGAAGGUAUGCCUGGUCAGAUGGCUGCAUAUACGAGGGUGAGUGGAGACGGGGGAUGAGACAUGGGAGCGGAAAAAUUAUUUGGCCUUCAGGUGCCAUUUAUGAGGGAGAAUUUUCAGGUGGAUAUAUGCAUGGUACAGGGACUUACAUUGGAUCAGAUAAGAUGACAUAUAAGGGGCGAUGGCGGUUGAAUCUCAAACAUGGUCUGGGGUAUCAAGUUUAUCCUAAUGGAGAUGCCUUUGAAGGCUCUUGGAUCCAGGGAAUGCCCGAAGGGCCUGGAAAGUAUACAUGGGUAAAUGGAAAUGUUUAUCUAGGAAAUAUGAAAGGAGGGAAGAUGUCGGGGAAAGGAACUCUCACUUGGACAAAUGGGGACUCAUUUGAAGGAAGCUGGUUGAAUGGAAUGAUGCAUGGAUUUGGAGUCUACACAUGGAGUGAUGGAGGCUUUUAUGUUGGAACUUGGACCCGGGGUUUAAAGGAUGGUAAAGGGUCAUUUUAUCCAAAAGGCAGCAGACUUCCAGCAGCAGAAGAACUUUACCUAAAUGCUUUGAGGAAAAGAGGGCUCUUACCGGAUUUAAGAAAACAGAACAAUGCACAUAUCCAUCAUGCUACUUCAGUGGAUAUGGGAAAUUCAAAGAUUGGAGAGAGCCAGGGAUCUCAUCGUGUUUCUGCUGAUAAAAUCUCUAACAGAAAUCUGUUAAAUUUGGAGCCGUCUCAUAGAAAUGUUUCCUUGGAAAGGCGUUGGAGCCUUGAGGUAUCUUUUGAAAAAGUGAUUGGACAUGAUUCAUUAGAGGGUGGAGAAAAAGAUGCUGGGACAGGGAUUCCAAUCUUGGAACGAGAAUAUAUGCAAGGUGUCUUAAUCAGCGAGUUAGUACUGAAUAAUAGCUUUACGUCAUCAUCUAGAAGGGCAAAACGGCGACAAAAGAAACUAGCAAAAGUGGUGAAGAGACCUGGUGAAGCAAUCAUUAAAGGUCAUAGGAGCUAUGAUCUAAUGCUCAGUUUGCAGCUUGGUAUAAGGUGCAUUCACUUUUCUUAAAUUCCUUAACUCCCUUAGAUUCUUUAUCUUUGAUUUUUAUACUUUAAAUUACUUAUAUUAUUUUGUCUUCAUUUAAAUUUGCAUAUAAUGCACGGUUUUUAUUAGAUUAUAUUGCUUGAUUAAUUCGUCCCUUCUGGCAUCAGCAACCUUUUCUCUGCUGGAUUCAGGACAAGCAUGAUCUCAUUGUGGGGAAAAAAGAAAAGAAAAGAAAACGGAAAGAAAAAAAAAAAGAUACAAAUAAGUUUUGUGUCUCUGUGAGAGUGGUUUGAGAAUCUUAACAGGUUUCUCCUGUAGGGUUGCAAAAAAAUUUCUUCUCACAUAUACCUCUGAAGUUCUUACCACCAGACACUUAAGUUAUUGUUCGUGGAAUUUUGAGACUGAUAUUCUCUGUAAACAAUGGAGAAUACAUAGUCCAAUGAUAACCACUGAUGCUCAUUACUCCUACCUCAUGUGCAUUGCAUAUUUUGUCUGCUGGAACUGAAUGCUGAAUUUGGAUUAAAAUGUGGCCAGGUAUACUGUUGGGAAGAUUACACCUAUACAAAGGAGAGAAGUCCGGGCAUCAGAUUUUGGCCCUCGGGCAAGUUUUUGGAUGAAUUUUCCUAAAGACGGCUCUCAAUUGACACCACCUCAUCAAUCGGUAGAUUUUAGGUGGAAAGACUAUUGCCCAAUGGUCUUCAGGUUAGUUUUCAUGUCUUGAACUUUGUCUUGUAGACUAUGUGUUUGUUUGAUGCAUUUACUGUAAUAUGGAUAUUUUCUUUUGUAUAAUGAAGGACCAACUAUAAUUUUGUAAUUUGCUUCUUACAAUUGACAUGCUGUCAGUGUUUUUUGGGAUUAUAACCAUGAGCCACUUUUCUUAUGAAAGGUGAAAAAGAAAAGAAAUACCUUCUGAUUGUUUACAUAUACGUAUAUACAGAAUCCUUCAAGUGCAAAUGUCCCCCUCAGAUCCAGCACACACACACACACAUGCACAUACACAGCUUGACUAAGAGCAUACAUAUAUACACAACUUGACCAAGACGUUACCCUGGAAAUUUAGUUUGUGUACUCAUCUGCAGACUCAUUUGUGUGUGUGUGGAUGGGAGUAUUUUAUACUGCUAUAAUGUUUUCAUGCUGUUUUGAAGAUACUCUGCUGCCUAUAAUUUCCUAAUACUUUAUCUGGACAAUGCAAUUGUUGCAGGAAUUUAAGGGAGAUGUUCAAGAUUGAUGCUGCUGAUUACAUGAUGUCUAUUUGUGGAAAUGAUGCUCUCAGAGAACUUUCUUCUCCUGGAAAAAGUGGUAGUGUGUUUUUCCUAUCUCAAGAUGAUCGUUUCAUGAUUAAGACACUCCGGAAAUCUGAAGUUAAGGUUUGUAUCACUGUCGGGACUCGUGCAUCUGCAUUUGCUGUUGAUGUACAUAAAUUACUAAAUGCUCAUGAAGUUUUCUUUUGUCUCCUUGUGUAACAUUUCUGUAUGAAAUUAUAAAUUCAUACUAGAACCAGUUAACUGCUUCCUUUGAGGUUUACCUGCAUAAGCAAAGAACUUUAUUUCCAUGAAUCCUGAAAGUCGAAGAGCCUUAGAUUCUUUGUUGUACAUUUUCAUGAUUUUGUUCUGUGUUAGAAUUGGUAAACAAAAGCUAUAAAGUGAAAACCGGACGUUUGAUAGAAAUUUACUUGUUUUAGAAUGAGCGGACAUGUCAUUGCUUAAUUACAACCGUCUUAGGAAUUGCUUGGUGCAUGAUGAAGCUGCUGUUUUUGGGUUUUAUUUUCAAAUAAGUUGGCUCCUUUCCUCCACCCAAGGUUCUUGAUAAAUCUUAUGUCUGUGCUUGGAGGACCAGCUUUAGCAAUUAGUAGAACUGUGAUUUCAUAAAUGUCUGUUAUGUACUUUAGUAUGCUUAUCUUUUCUGUAACAACAUUAUGCUCAUCAUGCAUUACAUUUGUAUAUGCUUUGUCAAUAAGGUAAUGUAUUAGCAGAAUUAUGAUACAGGUGCUAUAAUUGAAGUUCUGCAAUUUUUCUUUAAUCAUCUGGAGGUGUGGUAUGGUAACCGGUGUUCUGAUGUUGUAGGUUCUUCUACGGAUGCUUCCAAGUUAUCAUCAUCACGUAAGGUCAUAUGAGAACACACUCAUCACAAAAUUCUUUGGUCUUCAUAGGAUUAAACCUUCAAGUGGUCAAAAGGUAACGGGAACAGUGCCUUUAAAUUGUUAUGAGCUGCCAUGCUAGAAACGUGUUUCCAUGUUUUUGAUGCCAUAGCUGCUUUUAAUUUACAUUCCAAUAAAAAUAUCAUUUGAGGUUCUAUGAGCCUGAAUUGCCUUGUCUAAGAGCCAAUUCUAUAAUGAUUUGCCUUGUUCGUAUUUGUGAUGAAACCUUCUCUAUGAAUUUGAAUUGCUUAUUGUACUUCAAAGGCUGAUAUUCCUAGAUAAUAUAUGCUUUGCAGUUCCGCUUUGUAGUGAUGGGAAACAUGUUCUGCACAGAGUUAAGAAUACAUCGACGAUUUGAUUUGAAAGGUUCGUCCCUUGGUCGUUCUGCAGAUAAGAUUGAAAUUGACGAAAACACAACACUAAAGGACUUGGAUUUAAACUACUCCUUUUAUUUGGAACCUUCUUGGCGAGAGGCUUUGUUGAAGUAAGUGAUAAUUCCAGAUGUGCGUUGUCAUUUUUUGUUUCCCUCUGAUUUGUAGUUCCUACCGUAGGUGUAGAAAUGAGUUUGUAUAAUAUAGUAGACCCCUGGUUAUUUUUGGUCAAUUGGUUAUUUUUAAGUUUAAGAAAACAUAUAACCUAAGAAUUUAUCGUUAAAAAAUAUCUGUAGUUUUUUUUGAAUUCUUGUUUGUGUUGGCUUGAAAGAUUUAGUCAAGAUGAUUCUAAGUGCCAAAUUCGGUAAUUAGUUUCUCUUGUAACACUAUUAUGUGGUCGCGCGGUGCCCUCUUAGUUUCAUUACGGUCAUUUUUGGCCUGCUUAACAUGUAUGAUUCUCUAACAUUAGGUUUUAAUUUUUUCCUUUGUUGUUACGAUGUUAUUCAUUGUGUUUUCUUUCUUAUCAUGCAGUCAGAUUGAGAUUGACAGUAAAUUUCUGGAGGCACAGCACAUUAUGGAUUACAGCCUUCUCAUGGGAGUGCAUUAUAGAGCCCCCCAACAUCUGCGGUCUUUCAUGACCUACAAUAGAAGCACAAUAGCUGAUGGAUUAGAAAUACUCGCAGAGGAAGGUCAAUGUUGUACUUAAUGCACAAUUUAGUUGUCAUCCUUUAUUAUGCAGAAUUCACUUCUUUUUUUUGGGUUGAAGAGAUUGCUUUUUCCUUAUGAUUAGAGACUAACAUACAAAAGAUUUGCUUUUGGUGUUUCAAUGACAGAGACUCUGGAGGACGAAAUCUCCAAUUACCCUCAAGGCCUUGUUUUAAUCCCUCGUGGAACAGAUGAUGAUAGCGUUGUUGUGGGUCCUCAUGUCAGAGGUAGCCGACUGAGAGCAUCAUCUGCUGGUUAUGAGGAAGUGGAUCUCCUUUUACCCGGUACAGCAAGGUAUGAUCUACUGCACUAGAAUGCUUGUAUUGUCCUUGAAAGGCCUCAAGGGCCAUUUUCAUACCCUUCAGAGCUGCCUCAGAUGCUAUGGAGCUUUUUUAUAAAACUCAUGCAAAGAAUCUGUUUAGUCUUCUUUUGAGAAGCUAUGCAUCUGAAGUGAAAAUGACAACGAAAGGCAUUCUUAAUGCUCACGAAAUUUAUAAUACUGUAUGCACCCUUGUGGCCUUUGAACAAAUUUACUUCAUCUUUUUUUGUCUUCACAAUGCAGACUCCAAAUCCAGCUGGGUGUGAACAUGCCAGCAAGGGCAGAGCAGGUUCCUGGGGAGAAGCAGAUAUUUCCUGAAGUUUACGAUGUUGUGCUAUAUCUUGGGAUCAUUGAUAUAUUGCAAGACUACAGCAUGGGCAAGAAGAUUGAACACGCAUACAAAUCUCUUCAGUUUGAUUCCUUGUCCAUCUCUGCCGUGGACCCUACGUUCUAUUCCCAUCGCUUCUUGGAAUUCAUUCGGAAGGUGUUCCCUCCAAAUGCUUUAACAAGAUAAGAAUUUGGUGACCAGUGCAGAAAGAACCCCUCUUCUGAGAGUGAAUGAUAAGGCCUCCUGUUUGCAUGCUUUCGAGCACCAUUUCACAUAAGUGGCCAUAUGGAAUUUUCGGGAGGUGCAUCCGGAGAAGAAACAUCAUCGGUUAUGCCAGCAUGGUGAAGCGGAUGGGAUGGUUGACAAAUUUGAAUUUGUUUCUGUGCCUCUGGCUUUGGUACUUUUGGAGCUGCUGCAGCUUAGUACACGUACUUACAUCCUUUGUGCAAUUGAUUUAUUGUGUUUAAUCGAUCAGAGUUAUCGAACCUAUCUUUGUUUGCAUGGGUUCAUUCGCAUAACAAACGAUCUCGAGCAGACGAUCCAACAUUUUACCCUUUUACUUGAGGUCCAGGUUGCAUAUUCAAUUCCCUUUUUUCCAAUAUCAAUUCUAUAUAAAUUUAAGCAGGUGUAGUAUUCAGAAGCGAGCUUCUACUGAUCUGUAGCCAAUCACAUUUUUUGAAAUUGGUAUCACAACCAGGGAUUUUCAGACUUACUAGUAAAUACAUCGAUUAAAAGGAUGGAAUUGAUAAUCUAUCACAAGCUGGCACAAGCACUUCAACACAUCCAAAGGCAUUAUGGGUGGGCACCAUAGAUGCACUUAAUACCAUUUUUGGGGUCCAGCACAGAUACACUUAAUACCACUCAGCUCAAAAUGCACAAAAAGAAAUUACAUUAAACAAGAAAUUGCCGUAAGACAAGCUGCAAAAAUUCAAGCAGCGACACAUCUUCUCAAUGUCAACCCUAAUAUCGCUGUUUAUAAGGGAAAAACAAUGGUAAAUAUGACUUAUGAAGAAAUAAUCUAGGAACAUAUAUCUAACAACUAACGAUGUUAUUAAGGCUCAUUAAUCAGGUACAGCUUCAAUAAGUACGGCGUCAUUUUAGCUCACAUCAUUCUUCACAUUAAUACUGCAAGUAUGUUUACUGAGAUGCUGGAGGCUCCGGAUUCCCUUAGCCCAUGUUAGGAGGUGGUGGGGGUGGACGAAGACCCUGACCCUGCAUUUGUUGUCCUGGAAAGCCUUGUGGAGGUGGCAUUGAUUGAGGUCUUCCCAUCUGAGUGCCAGGAGUGAAAUUUGCCAUUGUGUUAUUACCAACUGGGGGUGGAGGAGGGGCAGGAGGAGCUCCACCAGGAGGCAUAGGCCUAGGGCCAUUUCCCAUCGGAGGAGGAGGCAGUAAAGAUCCAUGAAUCGGCGGAGGUGGUCUAGGAGGAUUUCCCAUUGGUGCACCAGGUGGCAGUCCUUGUGGAGGAGGUGGGGGUGGAGCUUGGGGUGGUGGGGGCAAAGGCCUUGAUGGAACACCAGGAGCACCCGGGCCAUUGGCUGCAGGGGGAGGUUGCGGUUUGUUUGUCUCUGGUGGCUUAGUUUUGAAAUAUAGCUGCAACUGCAUAUUGAUACAUUCCACAUGGAAAAAUUAGAAAAGAAAAAAAAAUCAACCAAUAAAAAGCAUAAAAGAAAUCCAUUUAAAUUAGAAGACUAACUGUGAACAUUUUUGAGUCUGGAUCCCAAUGUGAGAAAAACUUUUCAGGGGUUUUGUCAAUCUCUGUACUAGGAACCUGAAACAGAUACGAACAUGCAGGCCCAGUAAAUGUUCUGAAUCUAACAGUAAAAAAGAUAAAUACCAGAUGCAUAGAAAUAAGAUAUACCUUGAAAGCAAUUAUCUCAUAUGGUUCGGCUGCGAAGAGGAGAUACUGGUAUCUUUUGUCGACAGAUUGAACUCUCUGUGUUCAUGAAACAUUAACGUUUAAAAAGAAAAAAGAACAAUUCACCGCUUCAAUUAAGAAAAAGGGAAAAAACAGAUGGACAUGAAUUGCAGGCAAAAAGCAAAGUUUUCAGGAAUCAAACUCAGAUUUAAUAUAUAGAACCCUACCUGCUCAUAAGAUGACAUAAAACGGUGCCUAGGCUUUGUACUAUCUUCAAUCUCAGGAUAUUCAAUCUGCAGAGCAUACAAACAAUAACACAAUAUAAGCUAGGCCAUUUCUUAGUGUACCCUACACAUAUUUGAAUGAGAUCUUAUUCUUUCAGUAAAACACAUAUCACUGCACACAAAAAUACACAAACCCACAAACCUGGAAGAGAAGAGACCUCUGCUUUAAUUCUCCAUCGAACUGCUUUGUCACUCGAUACCCCGGCCUACCAAUUUUAACUGCAAGCAUACAUGAAAUACCCGUAUGAGUUAGCUCAAGACCCAAUUUACAUAUCAAAAUUACAUUCUACUCAAAUGCACCCCCCCAAUGUGGUUGUAUUUUUUUAAUUCGUGUUAAAAUUUUCAAACCCCAAAUUAAAUUAAGUUUCUCUAGUAUUUUACACAUCAAAAAAACCCCACCAAACAAUGUGAUAUGCCCACUAACUGUUCGACAAAAUUCGUGUGAAACAAAUAUGAAAUACACACCUGUCUUUCGCAAGUUGACUUUGCGUUUGUGAGGCUGGGGUUGAGCAGGAGCCUCCUUGGCCUCACGAGCAGCUCGCUUUGCCAAGUUAGUCUGAUGGCGCUUCCCCUGUGUAUGGGCCAAGUAGUUGCCCUCGUUGUUGUGCAGCGUCAAGCAAAGCUUACACUCAUAGCUACAAAACCCACCAAGAAUAAUCAACAAUAAGAUGAAAAGCUGUGAAAUUUGAGCAAAGAGAGAAAAAGGGUCAUACCUUCCAAGGUGGUUGCGCAUGAAGUAGGGAUCUUUGGCGAGAUCGAUGGUCUCGAGGGCGAGUCUCCGGAGACGCUCUCGGCGGUCGAUGGCUUCGUUUUGGGCGGAGGCGGCCCCUCCGCUGCCGGGCUUCGAACCCCAUUCUCUGUCCAUCUUCUCUGUUCUUGGCCACUGACUGUUCCUCUCGGUAUCGACGGGUUUACGAUUUGGAAGAACCUCCCUCCCUACUCAGCACAGUUGGUCCUGACUCGCUUACCCUUUUCCUAAUUUCUUUUGCAAGGAAAAUCCGGGUAUUGAGAUAUUAUUGGCCUUUAAGCCUUCUUGUAGUCAACAAUUGGGCUGAAGGGAGGCCCAACAAAAGAAAUUUGUCCAAUCCACUCGGGCAAUUUGGUGCCCAAAAUAAUAUGUAUGUUAUUCAGAAAGAAAAAAAAACCCUCUAAUCCGUAGUUCUUGUUGUAGUGGUUUUUCUUAUGUUGGAAAAUAUCUCAAAUUUAAACCCCCAUUUCUCCCAUUGAUAAGAGAAGGGAUACAAGUUUCUAGGACUAAUUCCUAAAACAAGUAAUACUUGUGAUACAUAUGGAUGAGAUAAGUUCGAUUAUUCGGAUGUUUUUAUGCAAGUUGGAGUUCAAAUUUCUAAGUUUAUAAUCCGUGCUAUACUUCAUUAGAAACUUUUAUGCAUGUAACACUACAUGAUAUUUUGACAUAUGAUGUUACUAAUCCAUAUUCAAUUUGUGCGGAGCACAACUUAGUUAGAUGGGCAUCUUUCUCUUGCAUGUACUUUCAUACUGCCUAUAUGUAUAUGCAUUUGUAUAUUGUGACUCUGUGUAAUACUUAUUGAUAAUAUAAUAAUAGUAAAUACUACUUUUCAGGUGGUUUGUCUAAAUGUUUGGUUUGUGAUGGCGAUGUUGGUUGCCAGGGUCAUGUGCUUCCCCUCAGUUUCUUGUAUUGUAAAGAAAGAGACACACCAAACAUUAAAAGGGCUAAAGCCUCUGCCUCCUUCUAAACAUCUUCUUCUUCUUCUGUAAUUGCUCAUCCUUCUUAAGUUUAUCUUUAUAUAUAAACCAAAGCACUUUUGUGUAAGGUCUAAAUUUAUUCUGGAACAUGCAACUUUAAUUAGUUUCAUUCUCAGUUAUGAGACACUUCAAAGUGGGGUACAAAUCUUUUGAGUAGGCAUAAAGAAAGAAGGUCAUUUUUUCUUAUUUGUUUUUUGGGAUGAAGCCGCAUUUCGUAGUGGUGGGAAGCUAAGCAUCAUUAGCUCUUAUGAUGAUGAUUAAUGUCACAAUAACAGGUGUUAUACUACACUAAAAUUAUGAAGCCCAAAUGAUGAUGCAAAGUUUUAUGCUACCAACUUGUACGACACUCGAAAAUAUUUUCAACUCUUAAAUCUUGACGGAAGCCUAAAAUGUUUUUAUGUUUUUGUAUUUUUAUUGAUAUAAGUAAUACGAGAUGAGGGAGAAUCAAUAACACGACUCAACAGAAAUGCAUAUUUUUAAUUAGUUAAGCUACAAUCCUCUAUAAAAAAAAAUGCAAACUAGAAACAGAAAAAAACAAAAUUGAAAACUGAAAUAAAGCGUGAAAUGUAAUUUUGGAGACAUGCCGAGUCUAAUUAGAACCUAAAAACAAAAAAAGUAAAAAUGCGAUUUUGGAAGGAAUGUCGGUGACAUAUUGGCAGGUGAAAGUGAAGAUAAUGGAAAUGGAGCUUUUGUUUUGUUUCGUAGCUCAUUAAUUUAAUGGUGGGAUCACUUCUUGUUUGGCGUACAAUGAUAGUGCCCCUUCACCAUCUCUUUGAUCAAUUUCCCGCGCUUGCAUGCAAUUUUUCCCUCUCUUCUUUUCAACUCAUUGUGUGGACCAAUGCCAUCAAAUCCCUUCCUGCAAAAUUCAUGUAAUAUUUUUUCACCAUUGUUAAAUUUCAUGUACUCAAAAUCAAAUAUCAAACAUAUAAUCAUUGCCAUGGUAGAUCACCAAGAAUUGGGAGGUGAGGCGAGUCAAAUUUAUAUUGAACAUGUGAAGUAAAGUAUUCUACCACUUAAGCUAAAAGUCCGAGAUUCCGAGAAGUCACUAUAUACUAUGCGUGAUUGAAUUCUCAUCUCUAUUAAUAUUUUAAUUUGUAAGUCCCAUUUGAUGAUGCUUUUCAGUGGUGUGCAUCAAAAGAAUCGAAUGUGGGACAGAACAGAACAGAACAUAACAUAACAGAACUGAACAGAAAGGAAGAGUCUAGGACAAAACCCCGUUAACAUGGAAAUCAGGAAUUAACAUAAAGAAAAGAAGAAAAGAAUAGAUACGUUGGUAGUUGUCAGAGGAUGUUGUUCAGGUAUAGCCGUUUUCUUUAGCUUUUUCUCUCUUUCACCUCCAAAAAGAUAGAUAGAUGCCCAUUGGCACCAUUACCACCUUUCCUCUUUUUUUCUCUCUCCUCUCUCUCUGUCUUCUUUUCUCUUCUCUUCCAGCCUUAUAUGCAUUUCUUUCACUGUACUUUUCAGAUAGAACAGACAUUGAUACUUAAGAAAAAGCUCUAAUCAUCACCAUCACCAUCACCAUCACCAUCACCACAUAGACACAGAGAGAGAGAGAUAGAAACACAGAAGAGUGAUCAAAUGGGUUCUUCAGGGCAGAGCAGUAACUACGAUCUGUCAUUCAAGAUCUUGUUGAUCGGAGACUCUGCCGUCGGCAAAAGCAGUCUUCUUGUUAGCUUCAUCUCCAACUCUGUUGACGAUCUUGCCCCCACCAUUGGUAAUAAUCUUUCUACCCCAUUUUUCUUUAUGUUGCUUUUAGCUUAGCAUUUCAUUUGGGAGCUGAUAAAAAUGUUGGGCAAUAAAACAUUUCGCUGAUUCUUUUGUUACUGCCAAUGAGAUGAACGGAUGAAGUGUUGGUAAGAACCCAAAGGGAGUUUAUUACUGUUGGAUCUAUGAUUGGAUUUUGAUAGUUGAAUAGCUGGAUUUCUUGUAUAUUAUUCUCAAUCAUAGGCUUAUGGCUCCUUACAUUUCCUGUUUCAUUGAUGUAAAUUGAACUCAAUUAGUGAGUUCAUAAGUCAAUAUGUUUGUGAUUAGAAAAAAAAAUUAAAUUUUUUUGUGAACUUCCAGAGGGUGGAUCAUAAAAAGUUAGUUGCUUGAAUGGUUUCUUCAUACGAAUCUUGUGCAUACUUUGGAUUGAUUGAGACAAUCAUUGUGUGAGGCAUUUGAUGGGUUUUGUUCCUUUGUUUUGUAGGUGUGGAUUUUAAAAUCAAGCUGCUCACUGUAGCUGAGAAGAGAAUUAAGAUGACAAUUUGGGACACAGGUAGUAAAUUAAACUUGUCCAUUCUUUCAUUCUAUGAUGCAAUUUUUAUCGAAGGUAGUCUAAAAUGCUUACAGAUUUCAGAGCAAAAACUGAUUUUUCUCAUCAUUCUAUAUGUUGAAAGUAUAACGAUGAAUUGAUAAAGUUCAUAACAUGACAAAUCAUAUUGUCUAUUGCAGCUGGACAAGAGAGGUUCAGAACAUUAACAAGCUCUUACUACAGAAAUGCACAAGGAAUCAUUCUUGGUAUGUUAUCAAAAGCCUCAUCAAAUUUUGUUGAGGAAAAUGUGGCAUGUGCUCUCACUUCUCUUAGUAGCGCCGAUUUUUCGUGUUAAAGAGAAAAAAGGGAGAAUAUGGUUCCCAUGUCUGGUUGACUGCUGAAAUGAAGAAUAUUUCGUAUCUAUGAUCUUUCCAGUGACAAUCUUGAAUUUUGUAUAUGGGCAUGUAUCAUGUCAUAUUGUUUAAGCCGGCAUCAUCCUACGCAAAUAUUUCAAAAAAAUUAACUCCUUUUCUUCAACUUCCUACAUUUUUAUUUUUCAUGUGUAUUUCUUAUUGAGCUAUAAGAAAUGGGAAAAUGGCAUUGAAGAAGUUUCCCCCUCAUAGGCAUAUAGAACUAUACCUAAUUCAAAGUUCUCAUAAUGCCUUGCAUACAAUACAAUAGUUGCCUGAUUUCAGCUAAUGAACAACUCCUCUGCUUUAUUUUAGUGUAUGACGUGACUCGGAGAGACACCUUUACCAACUUAUCAGACGUAUGGGCUAAAGAAGUGGAGCUCUACUCAACUAAUAAGGACUGUGCCAAGAUGCUUGUUGGAAAUAAAGUCGACAGAGUAAGUUUCAAAUCCUCUAUGUCUACUGCUUAAAAACUUGAUCCCAGAAAAUGAACAAGAAGUGAUCGAUGGUCCUCAACUUAGAUAAAAAGUUAUAGGGAAUUUGUCUCUAGCAGUAAGUUGACAGCCAGCAAAGGUCUUAUUACUUAGCUCCAUGCUUUUCAUUGUGUUUGUGUGUUUUGAGUGCUCACACAUUGAAAACCAAGACUCUUGAUUUGAAGUGAUGCAAUUUAGCGCAACUUUCGUUGACCUCCGUCUUACCUGUGCCCUUCAUCCCUGCCAGACUCAUAUGAUGAUGACAUGGCAUGAUUAAGGGGUACCUGCAGGCUCUCUUAACAUAUUUGAGAAAUCAAAACAUUGCCAGUUGGACAUGUAUUCAGUGCUCGUACACACCCAGAACCAGUAUCUUAGUCUGCAUAAUACUAGUCAACAUGAGUGAUUUUUCUAGUAGUAAAUCCUCAUGAAGCCUAGGAUCAUUAUUACAUGUUCCAUGUAGCCAAACACUUUUGCGGUCUCUUGAAGCAUGUUCUGUCAAGUCACAGACUUCUUUUAGGUUUCAUUUCUGUAAUUUUCUUUUUAAUCCUUUAUAAAUUUAUUAAAGCCUAAAUUUACUUGUGGAAAAGACGAGGCCUUUUUUAAUUAUCUCAAUCUUUUGAAUAAGUUAAGAAAGAAAUUCUAUGUGAUUUCAGGAAUCUGAAAGGGCUGUAAGUAGAGAAGAGGGGCUUGCUCUUGCAAAAGAUCUUGGAUGUUUGUUUCUUGAAUGUAGCGCUAAAACUAGAGAAAAUGUGGAGCAAUGCUUCGAAGAGCUAGCAUUAAAGGUACUUUUUGAGAAAGUUUUGAUAAUUUCAGAACUGAAGUUCUUAUGCAACUUCAUCCCUACAAACUUGUUGAUAUAAUUUUUGUUGUCGUAUUGCUAAGAACUUAAGAUCGAAAGCAGUCGUCGUGGGAUUAGGGAGAUGAUUGAGACUAUCUGAACAUAUGUGACAUUUUGUUCUGUUCUCAAUUCUAACCAACUGGAAUUCUGUAACAGAUAAUGGAAGUUCCUAGUCUCCUGGAAGAAGGUUCAACUGCAGCAAAGAGAAAUAUUUUGAAGCAGAAACAGGAAAAUCAAGCACCUCCUAGCGGCGGUUGUUGCUCAUAAAAUGCCGCGGUUUGCAUUGCACCUUAUAUGAAGCUUGACUCACAUCAUGAACAGAUCAUGUAUAUGUAAUUUCCAUUUUCUUUCCUCUCACUGGUGGUGUCAAGUUAUUGAGUUGCAUAAUUGUUUGUUUCAAUUAAAAUAGACAAAUUGCCACUCAAAUAGCUUUCAUAUUAGCUUGUGUAAAUGUGCUUUCCCUUUUUUUCAGCCAUGUUAUGAAACCAGAAUUGAUUGUAUUUUUCACAUAAGAAAAAAAAAAAUUACAUGAGCGCUUUCUGAUUCCUAUGCCCAGCACAAUGCUACUCAACUGUUAUUUCCAGAUUAACUAUAUCCUAAAAGCUAGAACUUUUUGUAUUGCAACAUUUAAUACAUACACAUGGACAUGUUGGGAUGCUGCAAUUUGAAAGGACCCCACUUAUAGACACAUAGUACAAUGUGCCAUAAGUUUUCUGAAGAUUUCUACAUGUCCUGUUAUGCAAGAUCAUUUAUCCGUUGAGAAAUCAAAGUGAAAAUAUAAAGAUAUAUGACAUCGAUUAUCUUAUUUUAGCCCUUCAAAUAAACGGAUGACAUACUCAGAAAAUGAAAAUUAAAAUGAAAAUGUUUUAGGUUUCUAAAUCAAAAUUAUAGAUGUUUGAAGAUCUAAUUCAAUGUCACCAAAAUGAUUUGAUGGAUUUUCUAAAAUUAAAUUGUAAACUAAACAAUAAUUAGUUGCCCUCUUAUCACUUAUUUUGUUAUUACAAACGUUCUAAAUCCAUUUUUAAUUUUGGGAAAUGGAAAAGAGAGCAAGUUAAAAGAGUGUAUUAAUGGAGAAUAGUUUUUCUUGGCCAAAAUUAAUAGAAAAUAGUUUAAUAAGAUAUGAAUAACGGGAAAUGGACCAUGAUGGUGAGUUUUUUUUCGGUUUUGCAUGUGAUGGACAUGUUGGACUUGAUGUUCUGGGAACUGAACUUGCUGCGAUGCUGGAAGGUUUGUUAAUGGCUUUGUGGAGAGGUUACCAAAAUUUUCUUUUGGCUUCUGAUUCUCAAGAGGCAGUGUCACUUGUUAUCGGAUCUGGUGAAUGUUGGAGCAAUCUAGGCAAUUUGGUUGAAGAUGUGAGGAAUCUAUUGGUGCAUUUGCAAGUGCGUGAAGUGUGCCUUUUGGCUCACUUCGGCUUACGUUAACGGUGGCGAUUGUUUUGGGCUGGUGUACGUUAGUGGUGAAUAGAGAAGAUGCUUAGUGCUUUUGAGGGAGGUGUGUGGACUCUUUUUUCUUGACCGAAAUUUCCUCCACUGGAGUUUUCAAGGCAAGGUUUUAUGAGGUCACCAUAAGUGCACCUAGUGGGGGACCUAUUAAGGCGCAAGGAGGUGCAAUUGCACCUCUCCUCGUCGGAAAAACCAUUGUAGGUGCUUCAAAUUGCUCAUUUGCUCAGCUGGUAGUGGUACACAGUUGCAUAGUGCACAGAUUACCUUAUUUCCAUUUUCAACACUUAAGUAAAUGUCUUUGUCCUUUUACUUUCAUUUAUUUUUAUAUUACUCCAUUUACCUAAAUUUACAAUGUAAAUAAGGAAGUAUCCCUCAUUUAGAUUCAAAUAAAAAUACUAGAAAAUCAAAUUCCCAUCAAAUCAAAAUAUGAAAAAUCGGUUUAGUGCAAAAUAUGAUUUAGGCUAAAAAUGAUAGCACAUUAAGUCAAUAUAUACUUCAUAAUAAAAUCUCAUAAAAUCCAGUUUUUUUAUUUGAUGUGUAAGGAAUAAAAGCCGCCAAAAAUGAUCUUAAGAAAAUGCAUGAAGGGACCUAAGGUCAAUCUAUGUAAAAAGCCUUAGAUGUUCAAUCCACAAAGAAUUUUUAGUCUUACAAAAUUGCACCUCCGCUAAAAAAUUUCUAGAUCCACCAGUGGGUGCACCUCCUUUCUCCAGUUUUUCUUGAAUGUUAUUUUGAUUGUUUCUUAAGAAGUAAUAAAGUUGUUUAUUUGAUAUAUAAAAAAAAAUUGGGGAAAUGGUAAUGCUAGCAAAUAAAUAUUUGUACCAAUUAUCAGCAGGAAGUAGUUGUCAAUGUAAAAAUAAUUUGAUUUGAGGGUGGUUUUUAGUAAAUAAAUAUUUUGUAUCAAUUAUGAGGUGCAAUGAGGAAUUUUAUAGAUGUAGAUAGCAAUGUUCGAAAAAUCGCUAGGCGAUAGGCAGUGGCCUGGCGGCCAGAAGAGUAAUCGGGCCUAGGCGUUUUUUUCAAUUUUUUUUUUAAAAUUUAUACCAAAAUCAAGCAAAAUAAAAGGAUAUAUAAAUUAUUAAAAAAUCAUAAUUGAUAUAAAACAUGGGUAAAAGUUACUACAAAGAAAAAUACUUGAAAUGAAACGCUAGGCCUCUAAAUCUAACUCUUCCUCCUCCUCUCCAUAUCUCUCCAAGAAUAGGUUUUAUUUAAACUCAAGCACGAAAAAAAAAAGGGACCCAACCCGCCUAGGCGGUUUUUUUUAAUUUUUUUUAAUUUUUUAUUUGUUGGACGAUUUUUUGAACACAUAGAUAGUAACUGGGUUCUAUUUUUAUCUUAUCGAACCCCUGAAAAUUCACCAACCUUGCGCCGAUAUUGCAGAUACUUUGAUUUUUCUUCUUCCCGUUCCACUCAGUUGACAAACUCAAGGAGCAUCUCAGGCGAAGUAAUGGCGGUGCCUCUCUUCAACCUCGCUCCCAAUCUUACCGACUCUGAGUCUGAUUCUUUGGCCCGCUCACUCAUCCUCAAAUAUAAAUUCAUUCUUCGCAGGGAGUCCCAGGGACGAUGACUUUCGGCGAGCAAAACACGUUUCCGGAGUCGUGUGGCCUCCUCGACCAAGCUUUCCUGUCCGGCAUCAAUUUCUUCGACUCUACAUAAAUGUAUCCAGUGGUUCAGCGAGCCCAGACUCAGGUGAGGGGAGGAGCGAGGAGCGUCGUUUUGGCCACCAAAGUUGUAAAGUAGCUGUGAGAGUAUCAGUUCAUGCUAACAAUGGUGUGCCAGCUGGCUUUUCACUUCUGAUGUGUGAAAAUUUGUUCUGAUAUUACAGGUACCGUCUGGGCAGAUGACUUGGAUACGAAAUGGUCCCAAGUGUUUGAAUGCUAAGAAUAUCACCGAGGCCAUUGUCGGCAGGUUUGCUAAAGCAAACAGUUUGUAAUUUUUCUUCUGUUUAAACAUUUCGUGUUAUGCUGCUUUGAGUGAUGAGUUAUGUAAUGUUUAAAUGCAGCUUAACGCGAUUGCAGACAGAUUACAUUGAUCAUUGGCCUGAUCGGUUUGUAUGAAGAAAAGUGUUUUCGGAUUUUGCUUUCACAUUACUCUAAAUUGGCAGAUUGACAUGAAUCUGCCCCUCUGGGUGAGAAAAUGAUAGCCAUACCUUUUCACUGGUUUUGUUUCAAUGUCAUGUUUACGUCUUGUUGGUACGAUGCCCAGUGCUUAUUAAUAUUUUUUUUAAAGGCAAUAAUUACUUUUGAUUAAGUGCAUGCGUGCAUGCUUGGGUGUGGGGGUAUAUACAAGCCUGGGCUUCUGCAUCUGUGCCAUAACAGUUCAUGAAUAUCUAAAAGGAAAAUUAUUUUGAAAAUUAUCUCUAGUUCCAGCAUUUGGUCUCUUUACUGCAUGUUGUAGUUAUCGAAUAUUGCCCGUCGCAUGUUGAUUUACUAAUCUGCUUUUAUUUCCUUUCACAGGAUAUAUUGAUAUUGCAGGGAAGUACAGUGUUCAUCCAGUAUAUCUCUUGCAAUAGGUUCGACACCUCUCCCUCCAAUUCUUUAUAGUUUCAUCAUGUUCUUGUCCACGUUAGGGCUGUGGUUUGGAGACUUAAUGGGGGUCCUGCAGUACAGAUGCUCGGUAGAUUCUAGAGGUCAAUUUUCAAAUUGUUCAUCUCAUCUUUUGAUAUGUAGGAACUUAGAAUACUAAAAUAAUUUUCUAGGAUUUUUAAAUAAUUGAAACUACUUUUAAAAUAAUUUAAAUUCCACAAAACUUUUUAAGAUAAUUAAAUAUAAUUAAUUACAAUUUUUGAAGUAAUUUUUGAAAUUAAUUAAAAUAUUUAAGUACUAAUUCUUCACUAAAUAAAAAAUAAUUAUAACAUAAUACAUUUAACAUAAUACAUUUAAAUAUAUUGAGUAUAACCGCCCGGCUAUACCAUUUAAAUAUUCCAGUAUAUUUAACAAGUAUAGCCGUCCGGCUAGACUGUUUAUUUAAAGAGUAUAGCCGAUCGGCUAUACUCAACCUGCCCAGGCCGCCUGGGCGGAUUAAAUUUUUUUUUUUUUUGGUUGGACGAUUUUUCAAACCCCUGAAAAUCCACCAAACUUUACGCCGAUAUAGUAGGUACUUUGAUUUGAUUUUUCUCCUUCCCGUUCCACUGACAGUUGACAAACUCAAAAGAGCUUCUCAGGCGAAGCAAUGGCGGUGCCUCUCUUCAACCUCGCCCCCAAUCUUACCGACUCUGAGUAUGAUUCUUUGGCCCUCCCUCUCAUCCUCAAAUACAAAUUCAUUCUUCGUAGGGACGAUGACUUUCGGGGAGCAAAACACGUUUCCAGAGUCGUUUGGCCUCCUCGACCAAGCUUUCCUGUCCUGCAUCAAUUUCUUUUCUUGGACUCUACAGAAAUGUAUCCAGUGGUUCAGCGAGCCCAGACUCAGGGUCAGGGGAGGAGUGAGGAGCGUCAUUUUGGCCACCAAGGUUGUAAAGUGGCUCUGAGAGUAUUAGUUCAUGCUAACAAUGGUGUGCAGCUUGGUUUUCACUUCUAAUGUGUGAAAAUUUGUUCUGAUAUUACAGGUACUGUCUGGAAAGAUGACUUGGAUACAAGAUGGCCCCAGGUUUUUGAAUGAUAAGAAUAUCACCGAGGCCAUUGAUGGCAGGUUUGCUAAAGCAAACAGCGCAAACAGUUUGUAAUUUUGCUUAUGUUUAAACGCUUCGUGUUCUACUGUGCUGAGUGAUGAGUUUAUGUAAUGUUUAAAUGCAGCUUAAGGAAAUUAAUUAAAAUAUUUAAAUACUAAUUCUUCACUAAAUAAAAAAUAAUUAAAACGUAAUACACUUAAAGCGUAUGGCCGAGCGGCUAUACCAUUUAAAUAUUCGAAUAUAUUUAAAGAGUAUACCCGCGCCGCUAUACCUUUUAAAUGUUCGUAUAGAUUGAAAUAGUAUAGCCGCUCGGCUAGACCUUUUAAAUAUUCGAAUAUAUUAAAAGUGUACAGCCGCUCGGCUAUACCGUUUAAAUAUACCAAUAUAUUUAGAAACUAUAGCCGAGCGGCUGUAUGCUUUUUUUUUUUCUUUUUUUUCCCCCGAUAUUCCUUUAUCGAUAAAAGUAGUUUAGAGCAUUAUCCAUUACUAUUAGGCCAUUACCAGAGUCUUUAUUAUACCUUUUUGAUUUUUUACUUAAUACAAAAAUGAAGAAUUUAGCAUUUUCCGGUUUAAUAUUUUGUAUUAUACACGUAAGUAUGUAGUUUUUAAUAAUACUUCUGUUUUUCGUACACGUCUUAAAGACUCGGUGAAAUAACGUUUAAAAAAACCAAGGUAUGUACAUAUUUUUCAUAUUUAAUACAAGUGUUUUUUUACAAAAAAUUCAAUAAUGCACACAAAAUUCAAGUAUUGUACAAAUAAUUUUCACAUAUUCUUGAAUAAAAGUAAUCGAUAUUAAAAUAUUAAAAUAUUAUAUAUUGGCCAAACUUUUAAGUUGUAACUUGCCAAAAUUUUGCAGAAUAAACACGUACAUAUUUUAUUUGUAUUUUUUUCUUUCCGUAUUUUACUAACUAUGAAAGAAUGUGAGAGGCUAAGAUUAUUUCUUACUUGUUGUAACAAAAAUGCAAGAUGGUGAUUUUGCCAUCUCUUUGCCAACCAGAACAACAAUUUCAAACAAAAUUUAUGGGUAUAGAAGUAAGAGGUGGUAGUAUUCUUCAUGUAAAGUGUUGUUUGAAAAGUGAAGCAAUUACCAAGACCACUCCAACUCAUCAUGCAAUUCUCUACGACAAGUAAUGUGUGUAGUAACAUAAUUUAGUAGUACUAGAGAGAACGAGGUGGAUCAAAGGCAAACAUUCCCACGAAAAAAGAAGAAGAAAAAAUUGAACUCUCAAAUUGAUUUAUUGUGAAAUUUCUCUUUCUUCAAUAUCUGCUUUGGAUAUGUUGAAAUUAGCAAAUUAAUAACUAUAAAGUAUAAAGGAAGUAGGCCACAAAAUUUCAAAAUUGCUAUAGGGCACCCUUCUUUGCAAACUCUCAAACUAGAAAGCUUUUGAUUUGCUUCCAGUGUAACCUCUCUCUGUUAGCUGUCUUUCCCUAGCAGAACGGUUGCUUGCAAUACACUUAUAGUGGGACCUAAGAGGGGCACAGUAAAGGUUUAUCAGUCUAAUGAUUUUCGAAAUCACAUCAAUUUCAAGUAAAGAUACCAUUGUAUACAAUGUAUCCCACUUGUUAUGGCUGAAAAUCCACGAAAACCAACCCAGUUUGCAGUGGGACUCUCUAAUGGUGAGCUCCCUGUCCUGAGCCUUUGGAAGAUGAAGAUAAUGAUAACAGAGAGAGAGAGAGAGAGAAAAGAGAGUUGAAGAAGAAAGACAGUAUUUUUAGAGAGAUUUGUAUAUUGAUCCUUCAUCAUGACUGACUACAAUAAUGACUCUGUUAUAUAUAUACAGAGUUCAUCCUAGACUGAUAACAAUCUAACUAGUGUCACAUGCUUUGACACUAACUAACUCCUCACUAUUAUUACAGUUAUCAUUCCCCCUCAAACCCAGCUGUGGUGGGUAUCCUAAUCUCAGAUGUGCACAAUGUUGUGAGAAAAUGGGACUAUGCAGACCUUUGGUAAACACAUAGGCUAGCUGUUCUUCGGUUGGAAUAUAUUGUACUAUAAGAUCUUUUCUCUGCACCUUUUCCCUUAUGAAAUGAAAAUCAAUAUCUAGGUGCUUGAUCCUGGAGUGGUAUACUGGAUUGGAACUCAAAGCUAUGGCAGACAGUUGUCACAAUUCACUAUAUUUGCAAAUCCUGCAAAACUUGUCGUAUCCAAAAAAGAUCUGCCACAUUGUUUGCCAAGGCUUGAUACUCAGCUUCUGUAGAACUUCUAGAAACUGAGCUAUGCUUCUUUGAUUGCCAAGAUACAGGAUUGUGACCCAAGAAAACUACAAACCCAGUAGUUGAUCUCCUGGUACUGAUGUCCCCGGCCCAAUCUGCAUUACUAUAUGCAGUGAGGUGCCAAGGGCCACUAGUAAAACUGAUACCAUGCUUCAGAGUGCCUUGAACAUAUCUCAAUAUUCGUUUGAUCAAAUGAAAAUGAACAUCUGUUGGUGCAGUCAUAUAUUGGCAGGCAGUAUUCAGAGCAUAAGCUAUAUCCGGUCUUGUAAAUGUCAAAUAUUGCAAAGCCCCUACAAUACUUCGAAACAUAGUAGGAUCUGACAAGACCUCACCUUCUUCUUUCAACACCUGUGUAUGUGGUUUACAAGGUGUAGGACAAGCUCUGCAAGAGGUCAUACCAGAUUUCUGCAAUAAGUCUUUAGCAUAUUUUUCCCGACUAACAAAGAUAUCCCCUGAGUCACUAUAAGUAAUCUGUAAUCCCAGAAAAUAAGUCAACUUCCCCAUAUCUUUCAUUUCAAAAACAGAACUCAAGUCAUCAACCAGAGUCUGAACCAACUGUUCAUUAGACCCUAUGAGAAUUAUAUCAUCGACAUAAAGAAGCAAUAUCACAAUCUCAGAAUCAACAUGCUUAACAAAGAGACUAGGGUCUGAAUGUGAAGAUUUAAAACCUAAAGCAGGGAGAUAGCCAGUAAACUUGGCAUUCCAAGCCCUUGGCGCCUGCUUGAGACCAUAUAGAGACUUCAGCAGUUCACAGACAAAAUGGGGAUGAACAGGAUCCUCAAAUCCUUGUGGUUGACACAUAAACACCUCCUCGUCCAACUCACCAUGCAAAAGAGCAUUUUUACAUCAAGUUUUCUUAACUUCCACUUGUGCAUAGCUGCAAUACUCAAUACCAAUCGUACUGUGGUUUGCCUUACCACUGGACUGAAGGUUUCUCCAAAGUCGAAACCAGGCUCUUGACUAAAGCCCUGAGCUACAAGUCGAGCCUUGUACCGUGCUAUAGAACCAUCAGACUAUCUCUUGAUUUUAUAAAUCCAAUUACUGCCGACAAUAUUUUUAUUACCAAACACCAAGUACCUUGCAUGUGAAGAGCCUUGAUUUCCUCCUUCAUAGCAUGUUGCCACUCAGGUGAAUAAGAAGCCACUCGAAAACUAGAUGGUUCAUCAAGAGCAGUCACUGAAUUCACACACGUAUAAUAACCUUGAUACUCUGGAAAUUGUCUUUUCUGAACAAUACCAUCUUUUGCUCUUUGUCUGCAUUGGAUGAUGAUUUUGUGGGCCAUUUAAUGUAGAAGAAGAAUCACUGGAUGAGAGAGGAAGAAUAACCUCGAGUUGUGCAUCAGAAAGUACAGGUAUAUAGUCUUGAGAAGCAACUGGUGGAUCUGAGAAAGGCAAAGAAUGAUGCAAGUCUGCAGAUACAUUAUUAGAAGAAGAAACUGAUCUUGAAACAGAAACUGAUCCUGAGGUAGAACCAGACUCUUGUGAAGUAGAUGAAUCAUGUUGUACAAUUGGAGAAGGCAAUGUAACAACAAUAGGUACAGUAGGAACAGUAGGAACAGUAACAGGGACAGAUGCAGAAGUAGCAUGCUUACAAGGAUAAUGUAGCUCAUCAUGAAUCACAUGCCAUGAAAUAAUACACUUCUUAGUGAGCAAAUUGUAACAUAUAACCCCUUACAGCAAGUUGGAGAGCUGCCAGCCUGUGGAAUCCGAGGGCAUUGUCCCAGCUUGAAAAAGCCCUUGGUGUGUGAUCUCUAGAUAAUAGAGGCCUAAACAUAAUAAGAUCUCAUCUCUAGAUAAUGUACGCUAUGGUGUUUAGGCAUUUGGGGCAGUAAAUUAUAUGAAUCUAAAAUAAAUAUGUUAUGGAAAAUAAAAUCAGGACUUUAUUGGAAAAUUUGCAGCCAUUAUUUCUUUUAAGUUUUAACUAUUCUUUCCUGCGCAAGGUUCAUUCUUUCUUAUGGAACGGAUGCGCCUGGCUACCAAUCAGUGUCGUUGGCCAAUCGCGACUAGUGUAAAUUUCGAUCGACGCCCAUUUUUCACCUAAGCUUUAGGUUCACUCUCGGGUUUUGGAACAUGGCCGGAAACUUGAGAAUUAAAACUUAAAAUCUAAGCUCGUUACCCUAACAUAUAUUUCAACUCUGUCAAGAAUGGAGUGCAUUUAAAAUCUAAGCUCCAUAGUCCAUACCCUAAACUCUAUAAAGGAUGGAGUGCAACUUUUAUUUCUCUUUGCCACCACUCACCAAGAGCCACUUGUUUGUAUGAAUAUAUUGACACGAUUAUUACACAGUUAUGCUGGGUCGAGAUUGAGUCCACAUGAUCUUGAUCACAUUUCAACCUUGUCACUUGAGCCAAAACUCACCAAUCUCUCUUUGACAAAGAAGAAAAGGUUUGGGAUCACUAGUUAUAAGUUUGGGCUCGAGUGGGAUUGAAUCUCUAAGAAAAAUUAAAGAUAACCAAUACAUGAUCUGAUCUGCAACUAAAUAUAAGAAAUAGGAGGGUAUCCGUUAUUAGUGGCAACCUACAAGCAGGAGGAACCCUAUGAGGGUUCAUAAAAUGCAUAUUUACUUGAGUUAAACAUUAGAGUCAAUUUGAUUGCUUAAUUAAUGUCUCAAAAGAGAAUACAUCUUCAAGCAUCUACCUUUGCCGCUGCGGAUGCAUAACUUACGCUGAUGUCCCUCAUAGUUUUGCACUGACUCGGCUACUCAUAUCGGAGAAAAUUGAUCUUUAUGCUCGUUGAACAUUUCUUCAGCAUCUGAAUGCAUUGAAAUAUGAUUGAAAGGGAUGACACAAUGAUCAAAACCAAUAUUCAAAAGAUGAGAUGACUCAACAAUUGGAGCCCCAGAAAGCAGCAUACUCCUUUUGGGUCAGUUAACCAGACCAACUCACUUUGUAAACAAUCAAAACAACUCAAGGAACAUGAAACUGAAUAUUUAGGUAAAAGAAUAUUUGUUCAUCAUCAGCUUCCUAGCAACCAAACAUAACAUAAACCAAAACAGAAAAUGGAAAAUACUGAUUUUCAAUUGCAAUUUCUUAGCUUCUCAUUAGUUUUGUCUCUGGAAAUUCAGAUAUCAAGGCUGGUCUACACAAAUGGAGGUGAUGCCAUUUUGGUGUUAGCAUCAAAUGGCAUUCAUUUUCUCUGGAAAUGGCCAAAGGACCUUAAUUCUGGUGGAGUGGUAAACAAUGACAUGCUUUAUAAUUCUUUCCUAUUAGAUUUCUCCUCUCUUUCCUUUCGAAAUUGAAACCGAAGCGAUAGUUGGUCAUUUGAUUCUGAUGAUAUUGAUUGAAUGCAGGCAACUCCCAAGGUUCACCCUAAUUUAUGGAAACCAAGGAGUGGCUGAUGAACAAUGCCUUCCCAGCACCAACCCUGAAGAAGAGGCUAUGUUCUGCUUUGAUUUGUCCAAGAAUGAUUCAUAUCUCAUAUCACCAACAGGAGGGAUGAUCUCUAUUUUUGAGUAUUUGCAGAGAUGCCAGACCCGCCAAGAAAAAAAAAAUUCUUAGAAAAAACGCCAUACAAGUUUUCGAAAAAUCGGCCGCCUAGGCGGUCUAGGCGGUCUCGGCGGGUUCUUUUUUUAUUUUAUUUUAAUAAAUAUUAUAGCCGCUCGGCUAUACUAUUUAAAUAUAUUAUUUAAAGAGUAUAGCCGCGCGGCUGUAAGCCUUAAAUAUUCGACUAUAGCCGAGUAUAGCCGUGCGGCUAUACGCUUUAAAUAUAUCAUGUUUUAAUGAUUAUUUAUUUAAUGAAUAAUUAGUAUUUAAAUAUUUAAUUAAUUUCAUAAAUUACUUCAUAAAUACUAAUUAAUUAUUUUUAAUUAUCUUAAAUAAUUUUGUGAAAUUUUAAAAUGGUUUCAAUUAUUUAAAAAUCCUAGAAAAUUAUUUUUGUAUUCUAAAAAUGGAUUUUAGCCUCUAAACCCUAAAUCCAAGUCUUGAACAAAAAACCAUAGUUUUUGGGGACUGUUACUAUUGGUAAUGGCGGUGUUUUGCGAAACAUUCAUCACCUUGUUGCCGAAGAAUAUUGGUAAAGUGAAAGGAGACAAUUGAUUUGCCUCUCAAGAAUUUUAGAGUUGCUUGUUAAAAUUUGGGGACGAUUUGUUGUAAACACAAACUUUGAGAAUUUUGGCUGAAUACAAAAUUGUAAUGAUAAUUUUGGUUUAGUAAUUAUCUUUGCGAAGUGAGAUUGACGGCCUUUUUUGUACAUUUGUGGCAUCAUUGCUAUACGAAUUAGCCUUUGACUCAAAUAAUUUCUCUUGAAAAAAAAAAACAAUUAUGAUCUGCCUGAGGUAACUAUAAAUUAAUCCAUCUGGGCUUGGAAUUGUGAAUUGUAUAUACAGUUCAGUGUUUCUAUAAGUGUACAAUUUGGUCUGAAACUCAAUAACCAAACUUCUUAAAUUGACUGCUCCUUCUCCAUCUUUUGAAAUUGAUGCUUUCAUUCUUUUGAGAAACUAUAUCUGGAGGCUUUCUUUCAUGUAUGUCACAGACUCUCAAUACAAAUAUACACGAGGGAAUUGUUUAUCAAGCCUAAAAAAGAUGCAAAAUUUUUCAUGUUCUUCCCUUCCAACAAUGAGAGACACAUUAAUCAAUGGAACCCAUCACAGAGCCUUUUUGAGUUCUUAGUGAUCAUUAAAAAGUUCCCAACCCUCAGCAGUAUGCAAAACUGAAGAUUAUGACCACACUUUCAACCUAACCCUCUUCGUCACACAAAACCAAUUGAAGAUCAGGAAUGUAUCCACUUUCUUUGAUCAAGCUUGACAGAGAAUUUAAACUUGCAUAAAUUACGUCUGAUUGAAGGUGUGAUGUGUCUCCAGCAACGAAACAAUGGACCUGGCUUUGAACAACAAUCCAACUUACUCCGGGAGGCUUUUCUAAACCCUUUUCCCUGAGCCGUGUUCUUAUCAGCCUGACCUCCAUCCACAGACCUGCUGCAGCAUAUAUAUUAGAUAUCAGAACAUAAUUCCCUGCAUUCAUCGGUUCUAAUUCAACAAGUUUUUCAAAUAUGGUUCCAGCUAACUUCGUGGCAGAAUGAAGUCGACAAGCAUUGAGCAAGGCUCUCCACACUGAUGCAUCUGCUUCAACAGGCAUUGAUUCAAUAAACUCUCUACCUUCAUCUAAGCGGCCUGCACGACCAAGAAGGUCAACCACACAACCAUAGUGAACAAGCUCAGGUGAUAUCUUGAAAUCACGUACCAUAGUGUGGAAAAGCUGCAAUCCCAUCUCUAUCAAACCAGAAUGUCUGCAAGCAGAUAGAACAGCUACAAAAGUUGCUCCAUUUGGUCGAAAACCAUCUUCUAACAUUUGUAAGAACGCAUGAAUAGCAUCAUGUCCGUGACCGUGCAUGCUGUACCCAGUAAUCAAGGCAUUCCAUGAGAUAACAUUCCUCUUUGGUAAAAUUUUAAACAUCUUUUCAGCAUUUUGCAUGCUACCACUUCUUGCAUACAUCGAUAUAAAAGCAUUUGCAAGAGACAAAUCAAAACCAAAUGAGAAUUGCCUCCGAUUUGCAUAAGCAUGCAAGCAUUGACCUAGAGGCAGAGAGGCAAGCUGGGUACAUGAUGAUAGAAUAUUUAUGAUUGUCACAGAGUUGGGAUUCACUUCUGAAAUCAUACGGUUAAAGAGUAACUGAGCUUUGCCAAUUUCGUUGUUUUUUAUGUAACUUGCAAUUAAAGCAUUCCAUGAGAUCACAUCCCUACUGGGACAGCCCUCAAAUAGAGUCCUAGCUGCUGCUUCAUCACCACAAUUCAUGUACAUAUCUGUUAGUGCAGUGUUCAAAGAUAGGUCAGCUUCAAUACCAUGUUUUAUCACAAAACCAUGAAUUGCUCGCACUAUAUUUAUACAAGUUUCAUCUUCACAAGUAGCAAGGAUAGAUAUUAUUGUGUGUGAGUUAGGUUUGGUGUCAGAUUCUCGCAUCACCCCAAAUAUUUUCCAUGCUUCAUCUUGCAAUCCAUUGCAGGCUAGUGCCCUGAUCAGAGUGUUCCAUGAGAUAACAUCCGAGUAUUUCAUCUCAGCAAAAACCUUCUGAAUAGAUUCAACACAGUUAAAUUCAGCAUACAUACUCAACAAUGUAUUUGCUAGAGAAGCAUCCAUUUUCAUCCCACUCUUUCUUGCAAGAGCAUGCAAACUUUUACCGUUCCUCAAGCCAUCAGCUAAAUCUUCACAUACCGACAACAUUAUAACAAUAGUUCUCUCGUCUUCUCUGAUUCCUUCCAUUCGCAUUUUAGAAAACAAGCUAAAAGCUUCCUCAUAAAAGCCAUAUUCAGUGCAUGCAGAUAUCAUGGAAUUCCACAAAGCAACAUCACGGCUGGAGACAAAUUCAAAUAAUUUACGUGAUAGCUCGAAACAUCCACACUCACUAUACAUAUUCAGCAAUGCAUUCACUAUGAACAGAUCAUCACUGUAACUAUUCUUAAUAGCCAUUUCAUGAAUUUGCUUGCCUAAUUCAAUAGAUCCAAUUCCUGCACAGGCCUGAAUAACAACCAACAUUGAAACAUAGUCAAACUUGACCCCGUCCACAAGCAUCUGUACAAAAAGCUUCAAGGCCAUCAAGUACUCUCCAAUUUCAACAUACCCUGUAAUUAUUGCAUUCCAACUGAUAAUGUUCCUCACAACCAUCGAAUCAAACGUAAGGCGUGUUGUUUUAAUGUCGAAUCUCAGAUAAAACCCUAUCAAAGCAGUACCCACAUGAGCAUCCAAAUCAAAGAGACCAUUCCUCAAGGCAUAGCCAUGUAUCUCCUGUCCGGACCUCAACUCUGAAACCUCCCUACAUGCUGAAAGCAAUGCAACCACAGUACGCGAAUUGGGUUUCAAUCCCUCAUUCUGCAUCUGCAUAAACAACGAUAUAGCCUCCUUGUAACAACAACACCUCACAUACCCAUGUAUCAAAGCAUUCCACAAAACCAAAUCUCUCUCCCUCAUUUCAUCAAACACCUCGACUGCAUCAUCGAUAAGCCCGCCUUUGCAGUAAAAAUCAACAAGGGCAGUCCCAAUUCUAACAUCUUUCAUUAAACCCGUGUUCCGAAUACUCGAAUGUAUUCCCUUGCCUCUCUCGACGGCACUCAGCCUUGCACAUGCCUUGAGAACCAGAGGCAGAGAGGUGUUAUCGGGUGCCACUCCGAGAGAUUCCAUCUGGGUAUAUGUUGAGAGGAUUGCAUGGUCAUUUUUGAGCUUGGCGUGGUGCUUUAUGAUCAAGUUCCAGUCUUUUGGUUUUGGUUCUUUGAUUGGUAGAUUUUGAAGGCUUAGACUGACAGGCAUAUCCAUUAGUGGAGGCUUUCACAUUUGGCGGGAAUGUGAGGAAGAUAGAAGAUAGACCAACAUCAAAGGGGUUCUUUCCUUAUACUAUUUAUUUUGUUGGUUUAUUAGCGGCGGUUUAGUGGUUUGUCUCUUCUUUUCUCAGGUCUUUAUCAGGGAUCAUAUAAGCAAUGCUAUGUUCAUGUUAUCUUUCUUUUUUAAUACUUGAAGGAAUGCUUGAAUUUGUAGAAAAUGAGAAGCUCAGAGAUUGUAUCCGUUUAUCAUCGUCUUUGUGGGUAACUUGUAGCUCUAGUGGUUAAAAGUAAAGUAUUUACUUAUACACUAGCCUCGAACCCAAGUUAAAAUCCUCAUUCACACCCUUAGUUCAAUAUACAAUAUACACCCGAGUCUAAAUGAUAAAAAAUGAGCAAGUGUGACCUACUCCCAAUUCAUUGCUUGAAUUACCAUGGCAUAUAAUUAUACAGCUUUCUAGCCAACUACAAUUUCAAUUUCCAGCAAAACACGUCUUUUAUAUCAUAGGUUGAGAACUUAUCUGCUGGCUCUUAGUCUCCCGCAAGUCCAUGUGAGCAGUAACUAUUAACUGUAACCAUAAGAAAAAUAAAUAGAAUUUUGUUUCAACUGUGAUACUAAUGACCCAACAAUCCUCAGGUUAGUCAAAAAGCGAAAACCAUGGUUUACAGGAUAUUGCAUCGCCCCACCCAAAGAACAUUAGAAAGGUGCAAAGAAAAGCUAAAACAGAAGAUCUGCAUACAUGGGGUUUGAGAAACUGCAUAGCCUAAAACCUUGCACAAGUAUGUGCUAUUUUUCUAUAUUUAAUAUCCUAAAUUCUGAAAGUUGUAAUGAUAAACAAAGGGGCACAAAAUCGUCAACAUUUUGGUGUUGCUGACUGGUAAUACUAAUAAGAUAAAAGCAGCACAGUCACAUCCUUCACGAAAUCCUCAGCAAGUAAAGCCUACUGGCAUGCCGUCGCACCAGCUGCAGCUUCCAAAAUUGUCCUAGCUUCUGUAGCUAGUUCUGGUAAAUCACUUGGGAUCUGCCAAAAUUUCAAUGAGAAACACCACAACAACAGGAAACAUAUAAUUUAUAAAGUUCCUUCAAAUACAAACCUUUCCAUAUAGGUUCGCCUUUGUAGGAGAAGCUCCGGAAGCCAGCAACAAUCUUAUAAUAUCAGCAUGCUCACCCCUCGCUGCAUGAUGAAGAGGCUGUGGAAGAAAUGGCAGUAUAUGAGUAUAAUGUUCACAAAACCGACAAGAAACAAGGAUAGAGUACAACUGCUUUUAAUAUGCAGUUCAUCUGGAAAACUAAAGAAAAAUUCACAAUUGGAACUCCCAUGUAAAACAAAAGGAUGUGAUUUGGUUAAUACUCACAGUAUCGCCUUCGGCAUCAACUGUUUCUAGCAUUCUCUUUACACGGGCAGCGUCAUUAGCACCAUUAAUCAAAAGUUGAACUAUUUCAGUGUAGCCUGCAAUAGUCAUUUGAGGAAAAGUCAAACAAAUCGAAUUGAAAUAUGAAUUCAGACAUCACAAUGGCAACAAGUGCUUACCCCCAGCACAAGCAUCAUGCAAAGGAAUUGCUCCAUCUUCAUCCGUAGCCUCCAAGUUUGCACCUCUCUCCAAAAGUAACUAAAUUGAAACAAUUAUUAUCAGCUCAAAGUACUAAUUGCAACAAAUAAAUAAAGAACAAAGAAUUGAUCAAAACAAACCUCCACACAAGAAAGAUUGCCAUAGAGACAUGCAAGAUGGAGAGCUGUGUCCCCAUCUUCCACUGGUUCAUCAAUGCUGCCUCCUUCUAAGUUAUCUAUAUACAAUCAGAAUGAAGGGCAAGCAUCAGCAGAAAUAAAGAUUAUAUGAACCAAAAACCAAAAUGGGGCAAUUAAACACUCCACGAAAAAAAUAAAUAAAUAAAUAACUUCAUGAAGUUCCAUGAAUAUAUUAUUUCCCAAAGCAUUUGAAUACAGUACAAUCAAAUAACUAAGAGGGGCCAGUUUGAAAACACAUAUUAAUGAAAGUUUCCAGCUUUCUUACACUAACCACCGAAAUACAAACAUAAUUAACCAAUUUGUGACAAUAUUUCAGCAUAAUUCUUUGUUUAAGUCUUUUGGGUCCAUAAGUCUAACAAAAUUGAGCUAAAUGGCCAAACCAAAUCAUAAUCGCAAUAAACCCAUUGAGAAAAUCAAGCUAAAAAAUCUGGUAAAGAAAAGUGGGUAUGAAAAUUGAGAGGCGAAGGGGUACCAAGAGCGAGGCGAAGGGCGUCAAGGUCGCCUUGCUGAGAAGCGUCAGCGAUGGCGCGAAGGUGAGGAGGGGUGUGAGAGUCGAGGUCCUCCAAGCCCUCUUCUUCGAACAGAGCGUUUUCGUCUUCGUUGUCAUCUUCCUCCAUACCAUUCCGCCUCCCUGGAACCGCCAUUCUCUUCUGAAUGUUUGUGGGUUUUUGGUUCGAUGCUUCGUGUGUGUACUAAAUUUCGAAACUAGGGGUUAAGAGGCCAAAAGGGUACUGCGGAAGUUGUAUGCGUUUUGGUAAAUUACAGUUUUGGGCCUUUGGGAACCACACUGGACUGUUGUAAUUAGGAUGCUGAUCACAUUUUUAGUUUUCAAAUAAUGUGACUAAUCACAUAUUAGUACUUGCGACCAAAAAAAUAAUAAUCACAUGUUAGUAUUUUCAAUUUUUUCAUUUCCUGAUGGAAUGUAUAACGUUUUAACUGUUGGAAAUUGGGGGUGGACAUCUGAAAUGGUGAAUUGGUGAACUAAAUCGAAACAUACUAUAGAAAGAAAAAAAUUGUUGACCAAAAAAGUCAGAUUAAAUUCGAACAAACCAGUUUAUGAAUUUUUAUUUUAAUAUAAGCAAUAUUAUAGAGAAAUCGAACUUAGAACUUUAAUGAUAGUUUCUCAACAACAAAAAAAAUCUUAAUGAUAAAUAUUUUUAAUCACUUAACCACACGUCACUUGCAACUGAUUUUUUAUUUUAAAUUUUGCAAAGCCGCAGUCCAAGCUUAGGUUGGGCUUAACUUAUUGGGUCUGGCCCAUAUUUACAGAUUUAAAACCAUAUAAUUCCAAAUUACAAGAUAGUCCAAGGUCGUAUGCAAUUAUACAAAUCUAAUACAGAAACAUGGGUAAACAAUUUAUUCCAUAUUUCCCGCUGAUGAUGAAGAUUUGGUGCACUCAUCUUUUCCAUAGUGUAUGGAUUAAGGGUGGGUAGCACCAAUAAAUUAAAGUCCUUGCUCAAACAAAAGCUAGUGACUGACAACUUUAAAUAUGAGCCUCUUGUGAGCCUGGAAAUUUUAGAGUUUUGGGGUUCUUAAGGCAGCGUGUAAACCAUGCACACAGUUGCCAAAUUGCCAACGGCCCCAUUCUCUCUCUCUCUCUCUCUCUCUCUCUCUCUCUCUCUAUAUAUAUAUAUAUAUAUAUCUAUAUAUAUAUAAUGCAAAUGGAUCGAUGGAUAUGCAUCUCACGCAAAGUGAUCACAUGCCAACCUUUUCAGCACCCACCAUGAGCACAUAGCCAACAAUACAAGAAAAAUUAGAUCAACCUAUGUGACUAAUUUUUCAACAAACGAGCACAUGUUUAUGAAUGGUUACGUCUAAGUAGCUUGAUAGAUAACCGAUCAGAAAUUUUAUUUUUGUCUUGAAAAUGUGAUAUAUAGAUAUGGUACAAAUAAUUUUAUCGUUAUGAUUUUAAACAGUAUAAUUAAUAUUUGUCGUUACAUCCUAUCCUAAGAAAGCAUGAGUCAGUACACGUUCGUAUACUUUGCAUCAUUAUAGAUAUAGUUUUGAUUGAACAAAAUAACAUAACGGAAUAAGAGAGCGUGUGAUGUAUCACUUUCCCCAUAUAAAUGCAAAAGUGGAUCCAUAAAAGAAGGGCAGUUAGCUUGGAGCUACUAGCUUUGCUUGCCAUCCGUUUAAACUUUUUUGGUCAGUUAUGUAUGAAAAGGAUAGACAGAGACAAAGCUUUUUAGCUUUCUUGCAAACCAAACAAGGGAACCUAAUCCCCUACUUUCGGUUGAGGUUUUGGUGGUGCCGGCAAAGUCAUUUCAAUUGACAACCCCCUACCCUCCUUUGCUCUCAUUCUCAAUUCUAACUCUCCUCAGAUAUAUGCUCUUUUCCGACUCAGAAAGGACUGGCCCAAAAAAAUGCCACCAUAUAUGGACAGUAGCAUACAUGGCCCCAACAAAAAAUUAAUACACAAGUCAAGUCAGUUAAGUAACCAAAGAAUUCAUCAAUUUCAACUAUAUGAUUAAAGUUUGGACAUGUAUAAAAGAAUCAACAAUGAAGAUUGAAUGAGUAACAAUGGUGUUAACAAUUAAUUGGGUCACAUUGAUGUUGGGGGUUGCUGCUAUAGCUAGCUGUGUUUUUAGUAAUGGCAACCCACCAAAGGAGAGGUAGAGAAGACAAUGACUUGUUCCUUCUUGGGGCCAAAGGGAAACUUGGUUUCGAGGCGUUCUUCUUCUGGUGCAGGAAGAUUAAGAUCCAACUGCAAAAUACUUCUUGGUCUCUUUGAUCCUGAUUGUGGCUGCGGAGAACUCAUAGCUGCUGCUGUUGCUGUUGUUGUUGUGUUCAUAAAUGUUCUGUGCCUCCUCAUAUGACCCCCUAAAGCUUGACCAGAUGUGAACUCAGCACCACAAACUGAACACUCAUGAACCUUAUUGGCUUUGCUGUUAUUAACAGGAGUAGCAGCACUGCUCGAUGCCCUGUAAUCCCGAUUCGAUAUUUGUAACGAAAGGGUGGUGCUCGUGUUGUUAAACCGAUCAUACUCCUCCGCUUCUUCCACGAACGACAAGGCUUUCUUGUUGUCCUGUGUGAUGUUCAUGUUAGCCUUGUUGGGUUUCUUGUGACUGGCUCUGUGUCCACCGAGAGCUUGGAACGAAGAGAAGCACCGGUCACAUGUCUUGCACUGGUAAACAUAUAACCCAGCUGAAGCUGAAGCCUUAUUGUUGUGAACCAAUAUGGGGUGUUGGGUUUUGGGCGUUGAAUUUCCUUGAGCCAAAAGAAUCAAACAGUUUGCCAUGUCCUCCUCUUCUUCUGUACUGAUCUCUGUGAAUUGAUCAGCUGAGGUGGCUGGUGAGGUUUCUGUGGGACCAACAAGGACUUGAUGUUGAUGAUCAUGACCUGCACUAGAUGAGCUUGAAGCUGUUGCUGUUGAGGCAUGAGCAAGCGGAGAAGCCAGCCUCUGCCGUUUGGUGCGUUUGCCUUUGAUGAUCAUCAUCUGGCUCUGAUCCUUAUAACCCAUCACAGCUUCUUCAUGAUCUUGAUGAUCUGCACCGUCCAUCAUCAUCAUCAUCAUCAUCUUGAUCAACCCACCACACCAGGAACCAGAGCAGUACCAACAAAACGCUUGAGACCAGAGAGAAAAAGCAGAGAGAGAGAGAAAGAGAGAGAGAGGGAGAGAGAUGGGCUGUGAAUUGAAUUGAAGAAGCAACGUUAAGAAAGUGGGGUUGUAAUUAUAGUGGUGAAGAGCGAGUUUUAAGUAGUGGUGAGUCUAAAAAAAAAGCCGCCCAGGUGAUGAAUAGUAUAGUAACCGUGAGUUUUUGCCUAAUUGCCAAGCUUGGCGUUUUCGAUUUCCAACCUUGGAAGUUAUAUAUAGAAAUACAGAAUAGGAAAAUAUAUGCUUGAAUAUCUUUCUGUGGGGCAUUUAUACAAACAUAUUACAGGUGUGUAUUGGGGGAGAGAGAGAGAUGCAAUGUAAGUGUGAGGAAGCGAGGCAACGAGUGAGAUUCGGUUGGCUUUGAAGCAAACCCAUUACUUUUUUCCAACGAUUCCUUUCUGUAGAGGAAGAAAAUUGGUUUGCAAGCCUGUGAGUGCCGCAGAAUUUGUGCAUCUCCGCCCACCUUUUUUUGUUUUUUUUUCCUAUUUCUUACUAAUUUACUUUUCUUGCCCUCUACACGUCUGUUAAUUAUCAUUAGUUUGAACUAUUUUUGGGUUCUUUAACAGUGCAGUUUAAUUAAUCAACAAUACUAUCUGUAUCAUAUUUAUAACAAUACUAUCUGUAUCAUAUUUAUCGAUCACAUUACUUAUUACAUUAGAGGUGAGAGAUACGUGACGAAAAUCACGUUCAGCAAUGUAGCAUUACUAACUCUUAACUAAUUAACUAAUUUAAUAAGCCAUCACCCAAAUGUUUGAAAAUUGUUGGUGGAGGAGAUCUUUUGUGACUUGUGAGGAGGGGAUUUUCAUAAUCUUUUUAACUAUUAAUAGACUGCAAAUUCAUUAGUGACUUGAUCAAACUAAUUAAGCAGUUCAUGUGCAGUUGACCCACCUACUACAUAUUAUACGCUAAUCACUUCUUGGACGGACAAUAACCCCAAAAUCACGCCGCCCUAAGUCUAUGUUAUGAUCCAAUUAUUUGGAUUGACAUUUUAUGCUCCCUCCAAUCAUUAGGGCUGUUCCAUUAUGAAAAAAAAAAAGAAGUAAUGAAAUAAAAAUUUAAUGGUUGGUAAAAAGCACAAAAUGAUAACACUUUUCUUAGUAGAACUUAGCUGCAAAAUCACAUGAAUGCUUACAAUUUUCGAAAGCAAUCAGUGAUAUAUAUGUAUAAUAACGUUAACUAAUUAUAAUAAGUUAAUACGAUGCUAACUGCUCGUUUUGACUCAUUUCACAAUCUACAAAAGUAGCCAAAACUCUAAAAAUACUUAUAAUGGCAAUGGAAUGAGGUGAGCAAAUGGUUAGAUUCUAAAAGUUGAAGUUAUGUAAGAUGAGCUAAUUGAUGACUUGUGCAUGAUUAUAAAAGUGAAUUCAAACAGCCUCAUGCUGCAUGCAUACUCUAUCUCCAAUGAUUGCGUAAUAACAAUAACAGCAAGAGUACAAAUUACCACCAAGCUAACAUUAUUGUUAUAUAUUACAUUAAUUCUUAGAAAUGGAAUGGGAAAGGGAAAAAAAGGAGUUUCUAUUUUUCCUUAUACGUAAUAUGAUCUGAUUAGUGAUUAAUAAUAAUGGUAAACGGUUACGACUUACGUGUUAUUUUGUUAUUUGAAGUGAAUGAGAAAGAAAAGACAUAUUAUAAAAAUAAAGAAAUAUUGUUUGGACGGUGACUAAAUUGAGGGUAGAGUAGUGUGAAGUAGAGGGUAGAGAGGAAUAGGGUUUAGACUUAGAGGGAGAGAUUCUUGGCGUAAGGAAUUAUAGGGGAGGGGGAGAGAGAGAGAGAGAGAGAGAGAGAGAGAGAGAGAGAGAGAGAGAGGAGGAGAGGUUGUGAGGGGCACGUAAAUGCCAAGGCCAGCAUCAGCAGUAGUUAGUGACACAAAGUAAAGCAUCAAAUUCAAUUAUUUUAUUUAUUUUAUUUUAUUUUAUGGAUUUUGGUUGGUGACAUAACAUGGGGUUUGCUUCAUAUAAUUCUCUUUUGCACUGUUCGUAUAAUUCUGCUACUUCUCAUCCACUCCUUAUCCUCAAAAGCUCCUAAAUCUGUAGAAAAAUAUUAAAAACUUUUCCAAAAUUCAUGUGUUCACUCCACUUCACAUGUGCGUGUAGAAUUCAUAUUCUUCCUCAUAACUUUUUCUUUUUAAGUCAGUUUUAAAAAUAAUAAAAAAUACAUUACUUGAAAUCUUAAAACGAUGACGAAAUGCUAUAAGUUCAUGACAGCUUUAGCUGCAAGACAGAGUCAAGACUCUCUCUCUCUCUCUCUCUCUCUCUCUCUCUCUCUCUCUCUCUCUCUCAAGUGUAAAGAGCACCGUUUUAGUUCCAUAAACAAAUGAAAGAAACAGUAUUCUUGCCUAUCGAGCGUUGUUUUAUGCGAAAUGUCUAUACAAUGUACAGAAACUGUACAGUUUCUUUCGAGUAUUAUGAUUUAGACGGUUUAAAAUCCCAAAAUAUAAAAAAUAUACGCGGAGAUAAUAUAUGUAAUGUAAAAAUAUUGAUUGUAUGCAUUUCAAAUUUACUCUUUAAAUUAUGUAAGCUGAUAGAAAGAAAAAAAAAAAAAAAAAAAAAAAAAGCCUGGUCGGUGCUAAAAAACACAUUUUGAUAGUUGACAAGGAUGCUGCUGGGGGGUCAAUCAAAGCCUCAAAAUUAUUUGUCAUUUUCUUAUGAUUUGAAGCAUAUAAUUAGUUCACGUUAAUUUAGAGACCUAGUUAAGGCACUUCCUUCCAUAGAACUACGGUUGCCUUCUGUCUCUACUAAAGCUAGGCUAUAGGUUUAGUUGGUCACACAGUCACAGACUCAGACUCACAUGAAGCACGAGAAAAGGUCUUUGUUUUCUCCUAUUUUUUGACUCAUAUUAUGAUUUGGACACCACUUGACUAUUUAUCUGUAAGGGGAUAUUCUUUCUUUUUACGAAUAACAGUUUGACACGUAUGUAAAAAUAAUUUAUCCAAAAUACAAAAAGAAAAACUUAUAAACAUAUGUCACAUUGUUAUUGACAAGAAUAUAAAAACUCAUAUUUUCAUGUUAAGGAGGGAGUAUUUUUCUGAUGAUUUAUGCACAUAAUAAUUCCAUUGUUGUUAGUGGUUGACCAUGAAGAUACCCCACCUGGCUGAAUGAUAGAAAUCACUCAAAUCACAGUUGGUCUUGGUCCCUCUGUGAAAAGUUGGCAGGCUGAACCAUAAUUCACAGAUUUUUUUUUUAAAUUUUAAUUUAAAUAAAGGAAUUUUUAUCGAACAGAGAAAGUAAAAGGCCAGAGCCCAAAAUAAAGAACAACACAAAGGGCUCAAACUAAGAUUACGAAGCCCAACAAAUAGGUAAACAAGAAAAUAAACCAGUAAGGGCCAAAGCCCGAAAGAGCCCAAUCAAAAACCUCACCACAAAUCCAUAAGUUUGGGAAAAAAUAUAACUGGCUUUUCUUUUUUUUCUUUUUUUCUUUUUCCUUUUUUUUUUUAAAUACCAAAAAUAUUCCAAGGGUCAUGUUUUGCUACAUCAUUGCAUAGGACUUGUGCAAUUGCUGGCUAAUAGACAUCAUGAUGAUGAUUCACUGAUGUUAGAUUUUCAUCUUAACGUUGAUCAAGACCGUACUUGAAAGGAACCCUUUAAAAUAACGUUGUAAUUUACAAAUUUUACAGUAUGGUAGUAGUUAGUAGAAUGUCGGUUUUCUAACUUUAGGGCCCAAUUUCAACUUCCAUAUUGUGUUUUGUAGGUUUUUAAAUAAGUGAAAAUUUUAGUCCAGUGUGGGGCUAUUUUUUAUUGUCACCUCGGACUCCCUAAAAUCUCAUUGCCGACCAAGAUGGUGUGGUUACCUUUGGCCACUCUCACUCCAACUCCGGUUACUUUACCUGGCAAUAGUUUGGUUACUGAGAGAUUAGAUGUAUAUGCAGGCGUGGGUUGCUACCAUUUGAAAACAAAUACUUUAUGACUAUGAAAAUGACUUGAUGUUGAUGCCAAAUAACGCACAUCCGACUUUUGUGCAAGUUGAGUUGCAUUGAUUCAAACUUGUAAUAGCUACGUAUUUGUUUUGUUUUUGUACGCAAAAGAUAAUAGGCCCAAAAUGGUGUUUAUUUCCUUUUGUUUAUGGUAUUUUUCCCUUCGCAUGAUUUUAACCUCCAAAAAUGACCUAUUUGGACGGAUCCCCAUCAAUAAUUUUUGGAAUUAAGUUGUUUUAGAAGUGCAGCUCCAGUAACUUAGCCCUCCUUGCUUUUGGUACAAGACGAAGCCCUUCGUUAACAAUAUCAAACUCUAUGGCACCUUAAUAGUGUGUGUUUAUGAGAAAUUUUCCUCUCUUUUGUAGUUUAAACUAUCACUUGUAUUUAAGAAAUGAAAUGAAACAUACUUGAAACUUUUUGGUAGGAGGUAAGAUCAUAAAUUGUAGUUAAUAUUAUGAUAGUGACGUUUAUCUUUAAAUUAGGAUUUAUGCUAAUAACAUCUCUAGUAGAGUUGCUAUACUCUGAUUCUUAGCCAUUUUGGCUAGAAUGAGGGCAAAACACAACUCCAUUAGACUUACUAGUUGGCUUUUUAUUUUGAAGAACUCCCGAUUUGAGUUUAGUGGCCUUUACAUUUGGAGAGGAGGAGAGAGAAUUUGAGGGUUUUCUAUUUCUUCAUCUUCUCUCUCCCUAGAGAGAAGAAGAGAGAAAUAAUAAAAUAUUAUAGAUUAACCAAAGUAGUGAAUAUUGAGGGAGGAAACUACUUUUAAGUAGUUUGCUAUAAUAGUUUUCUAGCUAUUUUAGCUAAAAUUUGGCUAAAAUUUGAAGACUCUCCUAGAGAUGCUUAAGCUAAGUACAAUCACUCAAGUUUGUCAUUAAUCGAAGUGUGAGCUUAUAUCAACAACGGUUAGUUGGCCACACGCUAAUAUUUAGGCAACAAUAGUUCUGAAAUAGUAAUCAUUUACGACUAGAGUACUUUGGACCAUACCAAGAGUAAAAAUGACAUUAUUUUUCUUUUGGAUAAUGCUUCCCUCUUUGCCCAUAGGAAGGAACUCCUCCUCGCCUACUGAUGUGGCUCAACCACAAUCUGACACUUGUCUCUCUUAUUAAGAAUAAUUAAAGUGAAAAAUAAAUGCAACUUUGAGAAUUUAUAAAUAAAAAAUAAAUAAAUAAAUAUAUAUAUAUAUAUAAAAAGAACAAGUGUUAGUUUGUGGUUGAGCCACAUCAAGAUAAGGAGAAGUUUCUCCUUAUGGGCAAGGAGGGAAGCUUUGUCAUUUCCUGCUAAUCAUAGUUUGACAUGUGUGUUGAGAUUCUUUUUUUGUGUUUUUGAUGAAUUAUUUUUGCAUAUGUGUCAAACUUUAAUUUACAGGAAAUAGGAAUGCCUCCUUCCAGCUAAGGAGGGAAGCAGUGUCCUUUCUUUUUUAUCAUAUUCUUUACUUUAUUUAAAAGAUUUUGAAAAGUAGGAUAGCGAUCCAUUAAAUGUAAUUAUUAAACCAAUUGAGUUAUAUAAAAUUGUCACUAAACGAAGUAAUUAACAACUCUAACGACAAAUUGAGGAAAUUAUCAUAAGAAUCUAAUGUUGGAUUUGUAUAGUAAAUGGCGGGAAAACCUUAGUGCCCAAAAAACAAAACAAAAACACUUUUGAACUGUAACGCUUUAUCUGCUUUUUAACUUUAUCAUUGCAAUAAAAAAUUGAAUGAAAUUGACACAUGGCAUGGUCCAAAUUUUGGUCCCAAUAAUCCGCUGAAAAGGCAAAGGGGUCCCACCACCAAGCACAUGGUGUCCCACACGCCAUUCCUAUUGGGUACAGCUGUGAAGUGACCAAUCAAAAGGGCCAGUGCCAGCCUUGUAGCUGAACGUGCAUCGUGCUUCAUGUACCCCACCUCCACGUACGCACUCACGUGCUCCCCUUCUAGUAUUUAGAUAACUUAUAAAAUGUAAGUCACAUCACCCAUUAUACACUAGGAUGAUAUAUUUUAAUUGUAAGUUUAUUUAUUUAUUUUAUUGUUUUAGGUUGAUAAGCUUUAGUAUUUGUCUCUGACAAUCGAGAGGUCAAUUGCUGAGCCCCACCACUAUUUCUUUCUUGUGUCAAUUUACUCACACCGGUUCUAUUUAAAUAGUUAAUUUUAGAGCCGGAGUACCGUCGGUGGCUGUAGUUUAGUGGUGAGAAUUUCACGUUGUGGCCGUGAAGACCUGGGCUCGAAUCCCAGCAGCCACAUCGUUUGUUUAUUUUGUUUAUAUUUCACGCUGUUUUCUUCAUCCUUCCUCAAGUAUUCAAUUUGUACAAUUACAAUUGUCAUUCAAAAAACAUGUCUUCAUGUCGGUUUACAUGAGUGGAUGUGGAACCUUAUGCAUCAUGAUUGCUGUUGGAGACAAAAGCUUGACCAAACCACCUCAAAAUAAUGACUACUUAUAUUAUACCAGUGGACAAGGAAGGGACCAUUGUUUUGGCUCAAUGUUUUCAAUUUAUAGCAUGUUUGUUUAAAAAGAAUGCGAGAAGUCAUGAAUCGGAACUCUUGAAUUUGUGAAUAGCACGUGAGCAGUUUUACAUUAAUUGGCCAGUAUCCACGAGUUAAUCACUUCCGUCAAUGUUUGGACCAUCAUCCAUAUAUAAUUUCAUUCUAUUUGGAAUGUAAUUAUUUAUUAUUAUUAUUAUUAUUAUCAUCAUAAGUUGCAUCAUCAGAUAUUGACAAAGUCAUAAUGAUCAGAUACAUGAAACUAAUGAAAUAAAAAGACAUUAAUUGCUUUAUUCUUGCAAAUCCUAGUUUCACGAAUAUACAAAAACAAUUUAUGAAAAUAUAUACGAACAUGUCAAAUUAAGAUUAGUAAGAAAUUAUCAGUUUUUACUUCCGACACGAAACAAAGUACUUUUCUUGAUUAUAACCAGGAUAAACAACAUGACUCAUAGGCCUUGUUUGGUUCAUGGGAAAGGAGACUUAGGUCACCUCCACCGCAACCUAUUUUGUUAGGGCAAGAGGCCCCCCAAGUGGGGUUUGGACCUCCAGCGCAGGAGAAGCAGCCCGAGCAAGCCCAAAGGCAGAUCUUGCCUAGAUUUCAGCCCGAAGGUGCUGACGUCACGCUGACGUUAGCGAGCAAAAAAAAAAUCCUCAAUUUUUUUAAAAAAAAAAUACCAAAAAAUUAUGGAUGUUUUCCCUAUAAAUACAUAACAAUUUUUUUUUAAAAAAAAAAAUUCAAUUUCUAAAUUGUUUAUAUUUUGUUGCAUAUUCUUUUUUUUUUCUUGCCCUUGUCCUAGCCUUUUGGGGUGGAACCAAAAAAAGAAAGGUUAUCACUAUUCACAUGAAUAGUAGCACCCAUUGCCUUGCCUUUGCCUUUACCUUUGCCUAUCCUUUUGGGGUGGACAUGCUCAUAGGGAUGAGAAAUCAAUUGCUUUCCUAUGUUCGUAAAUCCAGACAUGGAAAAUCGUUGUUUGCAUAUGGGAAAGUAGAGGGAAAGUGAAGCUCUCCUCCCCCAUUGAUUUUUGUUUUCCUCAUAAUGGGAAAGUUUGAGAAAAUGAGCUAAUAUUAAAUACACAUUUUUCAUGACCAUAUUGUCUCCAUUAAAAAUUUAGAAUUACAAUAUAGCAUUAAAUGCAUUCUUUUUUAUUUGAUUUCAUAUGGGUAUAAUUGAAAAAUUAAACAAACUUUGUUUUACAUUCCUACAUAAACUAAACAUGUGAAAGGAAAUAAAGUGGUAUUUCUUGAUUACUUUCCCAAGAUUAUCAUACAUGGGAAAUGAAUCUCUAUUUCCCAUCCUUUGGGAAAUAAUAUGAUAAGUAAUUUCCCCUCAAAUCCGUUCCAUAAAUCAAACGGGACCAUAGUAGAUUUGAAACAACGAAAAUGGAUUUUCAUUUCGUAUGUCAAUGUUCCAUCUAUGAACAACACUCAUCUUCAUCUUUAAGGGUUUUUUUUUUUUUUUUUGGAGGACCUUUCCUAUUAAGAGGGGCAAUAGCAUACUAAAUUCACACACACUAUACGGAUACUAGGACUUGAACCUAAGACCUUGCCUGAGAGAAUAAAUACUCCAUACCACUACACUAUAGUGGGUCCUUUGCUUCAUCUUUAAGGUUUUGAGACAAUUUGAUGUGGCUACUUUUAUUUAUGUAUUUAUCAACAUUGGAUGUGGCUAUUUGGUAAGUUCCACAUUGAAUAAUAGGCAAAAAUAAAUAGAAAAAACAGUAAUUUAAAAGAAAAACCCAGGUAAUAUUCGAGGGUAUAUCCCAAUCGCCAAAACCAUGGUUAAGUUGAGAAUAGGGUUGUCCUUUUUAAGGAGAUGGUUGAUUGGUUGAAAGGAUGACCCUAAGAACGACUCUACGGUUCAUAUCCUUUUCAUAUACUUCUUAUCAAAAUAUCAACGUCAUUUUAGUUAAAUUCCUACUUGAAUUUGUCUCAAAUUUUGCCUCUACCUCCUACCAUGAGUCGGUCCAUUGCCCAAAUAAGUAAUAUUGUGUAUAAAUUUCAAACCUUCUAGGGAGUACUUGAUGUAUAUAAAGACAAGAAUUUCAAAGCUUUCAUGUAUAUUUGCCUUAGUAGAUUCAAGAACAUUCAACUUUAUACUUAAGAAGCUAGUAGACAAUAAACGUUCAGAAAUAACUAAAAGAUUUGUAUAUAACAUAUAUCUCCUUGAUUUUUCAAGCAUUUUGAAUGAUCACAAAAAUUGCACAAAUGAUAAAAUAUUCCGGUUAGAUGAGGGAAUAUAACUCGGAAUUUAGCUAAAAAUCGAAAAUUUAAAAGGAAAAAUUGACAAUUCCCUUAUUUGGUAACUUAAACACGGACUGUGAGUCAAAAUAAGCUCACUAAGCCAUUAUUUACUCAACAAAUAAACUAUAAUACGUAUGGAGAUAUGCACUCCUUGUUUUCAUAAAUCAAGUUGAUCUUAUAUCUUAUGCUUCAAUCACAAGCAUUCAAGAUUCGGAUUGUGCAAAAAAAAACAUGCACAAACUAUCACACAGAAAUGAAUAAAAUAAAAAAAUUGAAUGGAAUAUUAUAAAUUUUGAAAACAUGAAGAACAAUUUGGUUGUAAUUGAUGAUAUAAUUUCAUUUCACAAAAAUAGAAAUACGAUCUUUUUUUAGGAAUAAAAAAGAUUGGCAUUAUGUGUCCACUAUUUUGGCUUUGGUGCUACCACAAAAAGUAAAAUUAAAAAUGGAAAUGGCUCCUAUCCUUUAUCCAUUAUAGCAAACCGUUUAUUAGGUUUGGAACGGCAUAAGCGGAAAAUUUAUCAUUUUCCUUAUCAUCUAAUUUCAUAGGGGGAAAAAAAAUCUUGGGGAGGGGGGGUGGUGCGGACAGAGCUACUAACGGCCUAGGGCGCCUUCCGCCUCUGCAUUCAGUUAAUAAUGGAAUGGCAUAAGUGGAAAUUUUAUCAUUUUCCUUAUCAUCUAAAUUCAUGUAAGGAAAAAAAUCUCUUGAGGGAGGGGUGGUGCUGCCAUGGCUACUAAUGGCCUAGGCCUCACUCCGCCCCUGCAUUUAGUUAAUAAGAACAUGUAUUUACAUUUAUUAUAUCGAGUAAAGACAUUUAUUGGAUUAAAAAGAAAAUGGCAUUUUAGGCAACAUGCCAAAGGCAUCUUUAGAAUAUAACCAACACACUACCGUCACUCUUUAUAUAAUAGUAUUUCACGUUAACUUAUUUAGAAUGAGAGAAGUCAUCUUACAUUUAUUUAUUUCUAUUGCGAGAAAUCAUAAAUCAUGAGAAGUUUAUAAUUAGAAUAAUUCUGAUACAAGCAAGUAUACCCCCAGUUUAUAAAAUUAUUUAUUUUUGCAAAUAAGGAAAAUCACAACAAAUUAUUUUUACUCAUAUAUUAAAUUUUUUAUAUCGUAGCUACAAUUUGAUCCUUCUAGAGACGAACCAGAGAUGACAAAACCCAGUAACAUCCGCACGUUACGUGUCCCUUGUCACUUAUCUACACGUGUCACUACCACAAUCCUUUAUGGGCGCCAAUGCUCCGCUGUAUGAACAGCAACGAUACAGAAACGAGAGAUUACUAUGAGAUACGUCGACGCCUCAACCCAAAAAUAAAAAUUAUUUCGCUAUUUCACAGGCUGUCCACCAAUCACGUUCUACUUUCAAAUUCCCUACGAACCGGCAACCGGCUACAGCCGGUUCAAAAUCAGUCAUCAACUUCAGUAUAUAACACCAAACACUAUCACUACCAAACACUAUCACUAUACUGAGCCAAGAGUGAAGUAGUUUGUGAGCGACCGUACGCAGCUUAAUUCUGCAGCGAAUCUCCACCGUCCGAUCUUAAUCAUCCUCCGACGAUGCCGAUCCGGAACAUUGCCGUUGGCCGACCCGAGGAGGCGUACCACCCGGACGCCUUGAGGGCGGGUCUCGCCGAGUUCAUUUCCACGCUGAUCUUCGUCUUCGCCGGCGAGGGCUCCGGCAUGGCCUUCGCCAAGCUCACCCACGGGGCCGCGACCACGCCAGCAGGCCUCGUCGCCGCCGCUCUAGCCCACGGAUUCGGCCUCUUCGUCGCCGUCUCCGUCAGUGCGAACAUCUCCGGCGGACACGUCAACCCCGCGGUCACUUUCGGCGCCUUCGUCGGCGGCAAUAUCUCCCUCCUCCGCGGCAUCCUCUAUUGGAUCGCCCAGCUCCUCGGGUCCGCCGUCGCGUGCGGUCUCCUCAGGUUCGCAACCAACUACCAGGUAAUUUUAUCACUUUCUGGCCCUUUUUGAACUAUAAGUUUCUCGUUAAGUUCGUUAAUAUAUCAUUUUAUAUUAAAAGUGUGACUAACGGGUCUUGAUUAUGUGCUUCGCAGACUACCUCAGCAUUUGCUCUCUCCGAGGGGGUUGGGGUAUGGAACGCGUUCGUUUUCGAGAUCGUGAUGACGUUUGGGUUGGUGUACACGGUGUACGCCACAGCCAUUGACCCGAAGAGAGGCAGCGUGGGAACAAUCGCGCCGAUCGCGAUCGGUUUCGUAGUUGGCGCGAACAUUUUGGCGGGUGGGGCUUUCGAUGGAGCAUCCAUGAACCCGGCCGUUUCAUUCGGGCCGGCUUUGGUGAGCUGGAACUGGCACAACCACUGGAUCUACUGGGCCGGGCCUUUGAUCGGCGGUGGGCUUGCUGGGCUUAUUUACGAGUUCGUCUUCAUCGGCAACUCUAGCCACGAGCCACUCCCGACCGCUGAUUACUAAUUAAUUAAGCUUUAAUUAAGCCCUAAUUAAGAUUCAAUCAAAUGAUAUGCAUGCAUGAUGAAUCUUCACUUGUUUUUAUGAGGGUUUUGUACCUUUGAAUUCUUGUGUUUUAUUUCAUCAAGAAAGAUCAUGAUCGUUCAUCAUGAGUUCGUUGCCACCGUUGAUUGUAUUUGUUUCGCGAUUUGCAUGCUCCGGUUGUAUGAUUAAUUUAAUUUAUCCUUUUUUAUUAUUAUAAAUUUUCUGUAAUUUAUUUCUUGAAGAUACUCUUCUUCUCACUUCUUUUUACUGUUUUUAAUUUGGACCUACGCGGCCACGCGUCAUAUGAUAGAGAUAGGGUUGGGUUGGAUUAAACAGUUAAAUCUAGAAUGUGCUUGAUUUUGGUAGUUUUUACCUACCCCCUAAAGUGAAUAACUACUGUUCCUGCAUGUGAUUGAUUUGGCCCUGCCGACACCAACCAUUCGCCAAUAGUAGUAGUAGUUAAUCGGGGGAAGAUACAUGCAUGGGUAAUGUUAAGAAUCAUAAUUUUAGACCAGCAAUAAAUUACGUAUAUCAUGUCACACUAAAUAUUUUGAAUAAUGAAUAAUGAGGACAUUCUUUUUUAUAAACGUUGGAUUUGAAUUUAGAAUUUCUUUCAAUGUUUUAGUCGGUAACUAAGUAGGUUGCUGAUAUGUAUCAUUAUCACGUGCUGGAUAAUAUGAUUAAUUACUUACAAUACAAUCUAAUGAUUUGUUUAGAAGAUUAAUUUCCUCGUCCAUGAAGUUACUAAUUAGAAGUAAUUAAACCAAGCUAGCUAAAAUAAAAUACUCUGGUAGAGAACUAUUUGACAUGUGACUACUAGGAGCCUAUAUGACACACAUAAAUGCAAAUAUAUAAAUGCAAAUAUUAUAGGCAAUAUUAUUAUUAUUUAUGCAUGCGUAUUCAAUCAUGUGGUGUGGGUCUUGGAAAAGGAAUUUUGAAAUUGAUUGAUUUCAAUAUGUUUUUGGGUGGUUGGGUUUUCAUGUGAAGAGCACGAGAGGUGUGUGUUUCACGUUGAAAGACUGCUAGAAGAAGAGCCCAGACUACCCAUAUGAAAUGAAUGUGAUCAACUUAAAUAUUAGAGGAAUGGCAUGACCUACUUUCAUUUCAUAGAGAUUCCUCCUCGUCGUCAUCAUCAUCUCGUUCUCAUUCAUGAAAAAAGAAAAAAAGAAGAUGAAGAGCACAUGAUAAUUUUCUGGACCAUACUUUUGUAUCUUGUCCUUUUUAAUCUGCAUCUUUUGGCCACCUUCGUGGCCCGGUGCUAUCGUUUUCAAACCCGAAAGCUGCCCCGCUCUCUCUCUCUCUCUCUCGUAAAUGUUCUGGUUCUCACUGUGCAAACAUUGGCCAAGACGUGGUUUCAAGCGGACCGCACAACUUGCAAUGCUACCUUUCAAUUUCAUAGGAUCUUCUAAAGAAGAUUUGGGGUCCCAUGGCUCACCGUCCAUUCUGGUUUUCUAAUUUAUUAUCACACGGUUUAUAAAUAGUUUUUACUUUUCAAAUGGUAAUGUUGAUUUCUUGCCAAACUUUAUGUUACCACACAAAUAUUUAUAUGCAUAUUGACAGACUAAGAAUCCGAAUCGCGCAUUAUCAAAUAAAAAUUAAUAUGAUCAAUAUCAAAACUCACGUCACACAUUUAAAUAAGAACCAACAUGAUUAAUGAUCGAGAUUGAUAUUCUCAUGUUGUGUAAACGAGUGAAGAAGAAACUCACUGAAGCACACAAUACAAUAUUAGUGAAACUUUGCAGUGGAGUGAUUGAUUGACGACACAAAGCUGGUGGAAAGUAAUUUUUUUUUUAUUCUGACCCAAAUGAAGCCUUUGGCUCUUAGCCAGUUAUGUCGAACCAGUUGCAACUGGAGACUGCACCAUGGCUUGGCUUCUCACGUCGUUUUGACGUGACCUGUCCCUACCCAGUUUGCUAGAAUUAUUAACAAAACGUGAGAGAAGUUUGGCAGAGGUUGGGGAUGAUGAUGAUAAUGAACAAAUGUCUGUUUGUGUGUAGAACCGAAUACGGCCUUCAUUUCUUGCUCUCAGAAUACAAUAAUACUAGAGAAUUUGAAAUAUUGAAAUAUUGAGGGACUUUAUAUGAUUAAGGAAGCUGUCUGGAGUACUGAGUAUAAUGGUUUGUGAUAGGUGCCUGAGUUGUUAUGGUGGGAAAAUUAUUGUGGGGGCAACAACAAUUUAAAUUAUUCUAGUGUUCUGUUUUUUUUUUUUAAAGUUAGAAAAGGGAUGGGGAAAAACUCACACACACGAGUACUGUAGGGGUAACGCUUGAGUCAAUCCAACACACACCCCAUAAGUGCUAUAUAUCAUAGUUUAACCAAUUAAAAUAAAAACUAGACAGAUGACAUGUUUACUUAUUUAAAUUAUACAUGGGUAUUACGAGACUUUCACAUUAAAAUUCAUAAUUUAAUAUCCAUAAAACCAUGAAUUAAAUUGACUAGGAGAGAAUGGUCGAUUGGAGAGGUGGAGCCACUCAUGGGCUAGUAGUGACCCUGCCCCUUGCCCCUUGCCCCUUGCCCCCGAAAAUAUUGCUAGAAAACUCUCAUAUUUACAUAAUCGGCCCCUCUAAACAUGUGUAUGGAUGUGAAAUUUGUUAAACUUGUGUAAAAAUCAAUCCAACUACAGCUUGUUAUUUAUAUUUUGGCUCCCCAAAAUUUAAAAUCUUAGCUCCUUAGCUCCGGCCAUGCACGAUCCCCGACCUAUUCAUUGUCCUUUCUACUUUCCCACUUCAUGAGAUGACUUCCCAUAUUCCGAGUAAGUAAACAUGCCAUAAAUGCAAAUAGUCGCCAACCUACAGCUCGAGAGUGCAAGGCGAGAUCAAGAUUCGAGCUGUAGUCCGAAUGUGGGACUUAGGACUCAAGUCCAAAGCUUGGAUUAUGGGCCUGUGGUCUUAGACCUCUGAGCUCGGACCAGGCCACCAAUGAUUCUUGUUUCCUCGCUCAGAAUCUGAUGAACAUUGGUUGAAAGUGCCACUCUAAAAAUGGGCUAGGCUCUUCCAAUAACUGCAAGAGCAGAGGGGUGCCUCCAAACUCAGAUAGGCCCAAAUGAAUUAUUGUUGGGUUGGGUUGCUAUCACGUGGCCACGCAAGCAUAGACUUGAUAACGCUCACGUCAUUAACCACGUGGAUAUAUACAAAUGUCCUGAACCCCAAAGUUAGCCGACACGUCGUCAAACAACACCGCUGUUUUCUAAAAAAGCGUUUUUCUAAAUU
rnacentral:lncRNA from 1 species